rnacentral:lncRNA from 1 species
UUUUUUUUUUUUUUUUUUUUGCAUUUUUCUGCACUUUCCUCCAUUUUUUUGCCUUGUGAAAAAUUUAACGGAUUUUGUAGAAAAAUAAUUGAUUACUCACAAAAUUUGAAUAACUGCUAUUAAUUGUCACUAGUUACUCAUGUUCUCUCUUUAUAUUUUUCUCGAUAACAGAUUACGUAUAAAGAAAAAUAAAAGGAAGUAAAUAUUAAUUUGCGAUAUACUAGAAAGCCAAGUUAUUGAGAAUCUGUAACGCAUUCAAUUUGGGACACGACUCACUAGAACAUGAAUACUGCAAAAAAAAAAAGAACACUCUUGUUAACUUUGCUGAGCUUGGGUUUUAUCCCAAUAACAGUUGAUGGAAUAAAAUUCAAGUCCAACAAACUUAUGAUUAUUAUUGUUGCCUUUUCUUACAAAAAAAAAAAAAAGAAUAUUGCAAGGAUUGAUUUUGCUAUAAAAAUAAAACAAAAAAAAAGAAUAUCGAAGACAUUUGACUCAAUCUUUUAUCUUUGUUAUUUUUAGACAUGAACAAUCCAGGGCCCCAAUAUGACCACACGAGUAUCCACUAUCCAGUUCAGGUAACAAAAAAUCUGUAUUAGUGGGCAUUGGCCUGCUCUAAUCUAUCGGCAGAAGCGUGCUAUUUUUAGAUGUCUCGGCCCAGCAAUGAGGAGGCUAACACGCUACCCACCAUUGCAGCUUAGGACUUAAAGACGUAAAAGUAAAACAGAGGCUCAGAUUAACCAACCUAUAUAGCAAUUCAAGAGUAUAAACUGUCUGGUUCACUUAUCAAAGGACUAGCAUCAAAUGACAAACUAAAGUUAAGUUGCUUAGAACUAGGGCCGUAAAUGAGCCGAGUCGAGUCGAGUUUUGGCCUAAUCGAGUCGAGUCUUGACUUAGUUUUAUUAAACUCGAACUCGAGUUCGAACUCGACGAGUUGACAAUUUAAAACUCGAGCUCGAAAAAAUUAAAAAUAAUUAUUUAAAAAAAAAUAAAAAAAAUAUUUUUCUUAAUAAAUAAUAAAAUAUCAAGGAUAUAUAUGUAAUUUUACUAUUAUAUAUAUUUAUAUAUACACACACACACACACUUGAGCUCGUGAGCCGGCUCGCAAGUAACGAGUUUAAUAUUUUGAGCUCGAGUUCGAUCUCGAAUUUGACUCGAGCUCGAGCUUGAUAUUGAUUGAGCUCGAAUCGAACUUGACUUGAGCCGCUCGUGAGCGGUUCGAUUCGUUUGCAGCCCUACUUAGAACAUGCACUAAAGAAAGCUUAAUUUUUGUAUUUGUCCAGAAACAGAGCACUCCAAAGUAAAGUGUAGACUGGCCUGUCAAAGCAUUCUAGUAAAACAGUAUGAACCAGGCAACACAUACUCUAUAAUCUAGUCUAGUAACAGGAUAAUGAUUUUCAAGCCUGUUACAGAAAUGUAUUUCAAGAUUCAAUGAACUCUAAUGAAACCAGGUGUCUUGGUACUGUAUGUCUUAAUUCUGACCAUUGCGUACUUGUAAUGACCAUUCCCUUUAGCAUCACAGCCUAGCUGAGAAGGCAUGUAGUGGGAUGUUAUGGCUCAACUCCAUUCACUCAAGAUUGAGGAGAAAAUCCACACAAGCCCUACUUAAUUACCUAAAUUUGGCUUGGACUCAUGAUUAGCAAUCUCGGCCUUGUUCGAUACGACUCAGCUGAGUCACAGAAUGGAGGGGACCGUUAUGAUACCGAUCUCCGAAUCAUGGAUAAUUUUAUAUCUCCGACGACUCGCUCUGAUUCGACUAAUAUUUGCCGAUUUGAAUCCGUGAUGCAUGGAAUCGGUUAAAAUAUCUGAGUCCACUCGAAGUCAAUUCAGAUAUUUUUUCAGAUUGUGCCUUUUAUGAUAUUUUCUAUUUUUAAUAAUUUUUUCAAAACUUUUGAAAUUUUUUAUGUGCUAUAAUGUGUGUAUCACUUGAUAUCCAAUUGAUAUGCCGUGACGAAUGUGGAACAACUACUAUCGUGACGUGAUCGCGAUCCACCAUGGUGAACCAUGCUUGGACUAGUAUUUUGCAAGUAAUUAUUUAUUUCCAAAAAUGUCAAAUAUCAUAAAUCUAGUAGUUUGCAAAAGUUGGAUCAAUUUCACUAUCUCAAUAAUGACCGACUCUCCUCCAAGGAAAAAAUUCAUUAAGACCAAUGCACAGAAGCCCAGAAAAACAAGAAAGAAACAGGAACUGAAAAGAUAGGAACCAAAACUCAAUAACAGCAUGCAUCCACAAAUAGUGGUCGAAUAAUAUCCAUAGCACCACUUCUUUUUAACAUCAAAUCCUCAGCAAAAAUAUCAAUAGAAGUCAGGCAUCAUUAGCUUUAAUACCAAUUAAGUUAGGCAUCAUUAUCUUAUUAUAUAGCAAACAAGAGAACUCCAUCAUCAUCGUUCGGUCUCGCAGGAAACAAAUGAUUUUGUAUUCAACUUAAAAGGCAGAAGCUUUAUCGAUUUAUGCAGAAAAAGAUCUGACCUUUCGGCACUUCUCUUAAAAAAUGUAACUAUCCUAGUUAGAUUUAUGAUUCUUAAAGAUACCAUAUGUUCUCGAAAAAAUUACCUCUCUACCGAGCUUGAGCAGGAGGAGGAGGAUUAGCUUCACGUCUGAUGACAAGAACAUCAAGCUGCCCGAUUCUAUAGGUCUAGACGUCCAAGACGGGAUGAUCGGCACCAAACCCUCCAGCUAUAUAUGCUCGGAUGGAAUUUCCGAAUACUCUAGUUGCGCUGUUUUCUGUAUGCUUCACUAUGAAGGUUUUAUAAGCACCUAACCUCCUUACUGUGAUAUCCAUUCCAUCAUCUCCUUCAAUUGCACGUCUCCUCUGGUCAUUUUGUCUCCAAGCUUUUGCAGUUGGACCGUUAUCGCAGCUAGUUCCCACAUGUAAGUCGUUUUGCAGAGACACGUCGGCUGAGUGGCAUUGGGAGGAACAGGAAAUUCUUGAAAGGGGUAUGGCGGAUUCUCUGCGGGCGGUCUAGUUCUGGGUCUUGCGGCUGUCAUGCUUAUGGACUUCUGCUGGUUUUGCCGAUUUUGAGACGGGAAACGGCGAUGAAAUGUACUGCAUGGUGUGGCUUGUAGUGUUUAUACACGUGCUGAUUGUUUAGUUUAUUAAUGCAUGCUAUCAUCAGCACCGUCCACCACAGCAUACUGUCCUUUCCUUCCCAUCAUCAUCACAUCUUGGUUUGCGGCAUAAAUAAAAAUAUUUUCUUUACCCCAUUAAAAUGUGAUUUUUAUGACAGUUACUGUAACCAAAUUGGUGUACGAAAGCAACAAAAACUUAAUCAAACUAUCUUAUUUGCAACCAGAAUCUUGACCAAAAAAAAAAAAAAAUUGUACAACUACCUGAUUUUAAAGAAUUGAAAAUCAUAAGAACCAUUAGAAACUAAUCUACGUACAAACGAAGUGCUAUAAGAAUUUGUGGUUAUCGGUACUAAGCAUUUAGAUUUGGCAUAGAUAUUUAUUGUCAUUUUAUAAAUUUCUAAUUUUGUUAUCUUUACAAAAACUAAUUUUACUUUAGUUAUAUAACCACACCUAUAAGCAAUUUUUACUUUAAACAUCUAACUACAUAUUCAUCAAUAUAAUCAAUUUUAACCAUUGUAAUUACCACAAGGACAAUAGUUAUCAUUUCGUUCAAAGAAUAUCAAGAGAUCAUUGGAGUGGAUGUUCUAGGAGUAACUACGUCUAGAUUUGUUAGUGGUUAAGGUCUGAUCCUUGCUUUUGUUUAAAAAAAAAUCAAUUUUUUUUGUAUAAAAUUGAUUCACACAAACCAUUAUACAUCUCUAAAUUGCACAUACAGUGUGUGCGCUUGUGUGCCCUUAGCACUAGCGAAAAAGAAAUUCUCCCCUCAUAGCCGUUUUUCCCCCCUUCUUUCUUGGAUAAAUAUCCUUUCUUUUUCUUUUUUCUGGGAUAAACCUCCCUUGUUGGGUUGCUGUUACUGUCUGGACCAAUUAGUAAUUAAGUGCCUUGGCACGCAAUAUAUAUAUAUAUAUACAUAUAUAUAUGUGCACGCCAUUAGAAAAGGCCCCAGUCGACUAAUAUAAAUGCCAACCUAAAAUCACAUUAGUUGACCAUACCCGUGUAUUUUAACAUGCAUUAGAAAUAUUGAAGUUUAGCUCGCAUAUCAAUUCGCUAUGCCUCUUAGUCGUGUAAAUUUUGAUCCUCAAUAAUUAAUUGGCGAUUUGAUACAACUGUACUUUGCCUAUUGGCUAGAUUGAUUGCUGAUGUCUACUGUGUAUGUUUUGUUGAAUUAUUUCGUAGGUUGAAGAUUUUGAUUUUUCCCAUUUGAUAUUGGGAUUUGGAAUAUUUUUAACUCGAGAUCAAUUUUGGGAUGAUAGUGAAGUAGAUUUGUAUUUCCGCGUGCAAUAUUAAUAUUUGACAUUUGUACUUUGUGGUUGGAGUUAAUUAUGGAAGUAAAAAAACCAUUUUUUCUUUGAGUUUAUAGUAGAAUGAAGCUAUUGAAGGUUGGUAUGUUAGUAUUGUUGGCACCUCUCAUGUGCUUGCUGCAGCUCACUUAUCGAGACCCAGGAAACGGCUUGAUAAGAUGAUAAAGAAGUAAAACGCAGGUAGUGGACCACGCCUAAUGCUAAUAAUUAUUCAGUCAUUUUCUUGUACUGUUUCCAUUGCACUAGUCUUUAUCUCUGCAAUUCAUGUGAUGCCUUUCUCUGAAAGUGUUUGCUUCCUUUAUUUAUUUAUUUUUUGUUUUUUCUACUAUGAUAGGCAUUAUCACUAGUAAAAAUGGAAAAUGUUCACCUUGUCUCAAAGAUCAGGCUAAGCUGCGUCGUUAUGUUAUUGGUGAAAUGGAAAAGUGCUACCUAAAUUUCAGAACAUGCUAAUUUCACUGGUCAAACUCCAUUCUUGUGGUGCAUUUGCUAAAUCUCAGUGGUUCUGGAUGGCAGAUCAUCUGAGUUUUCUUCUCCUUCUAAUAAAAGUUCAAAAUUUUGCAGUACACAUUCGUCCGCCCCCUAAACCUAAUUCUUGGCUCCGCCACUGGAUCUAAUGUGUCUAGUCAAUGAGCAUAGCAUUUUAUCUCUGGAAUCCUAGUGUCGAACAAUUAGUCAGAUUGCCACAGUUCCACUGUGACCGUGGUAGGGGGAUUUGGAUUCAUUGCCACCACGAAUGAAUAUGUUGUGAUCCACUUAAUCUCCGACUCCCAGGGAGAGUUUAAUAAGUUUGUUACUGGUUAUGAGAUACUAACUUUCUCUACUACUAAUCAUGAUAUUAAUGUUACAAGAGACGACAUCUUAUGGAGUUGGAGAAAGCUUGGUGACAAGUGUUGUCAUGAGAAAGAUCUAGACGAUAUGUUUUGGUGAUGGGAUUUUAUUAUUGGAAAGUUUUGGAUCAUGAAUGCAUCAUCUUCUUCGACUUGGAUGAACACAAAUUUCAAGACGUUCCUCUGUCACCUGCGUUUCAGGAUUAUUCAACCCUGAUUGCGGGUUUCCAACUUGGGUAUACCGGAAAGGAAAUUUUUGUUUGGUGGAUCCAUCAGAAGAAACUACACAGCCCACGCCAACAAUGGAGAUAUGGAUGCCAACAAGGGCGAAGAACAACAAUAUGGCAACAGCAUUAUCAUGGAAAAAGGAGUACAGCAUUCCAUUGCCAGGUUUUAAUCUUCUUCUUUUUUUUCUUCCUGUCAUACAAUCUUGCAAUAUUUGUCCAUAUUCCUUUUGUCAACAUUUACAGGAUUGUGAUAAUUUCCAAAAGCUAUUGUUUGUGUGUGUUUGUGGGGGGGGGGGGGGGGGGGGGGGGGGGUAUGUAUGCUUGCUUCUUCCAGACGAAGCUUAUUACGUCUUACUUUCCUUUUGUUGCAGUACUGGUUAGAAAUAAAGAGUUUAUGUUACUAUAAGAUGCAUGAACUGAAUUCAAGAGAUGUUUAGGCUUGGACUUAACACAUAAUAUACUACUAUAGCUAGGAUAACAGAGAUUAAAAAAAAAACAUAUCCAACUAACGGCCUGCAAUUAUCUGAUAAACAAAACAUUUCCAAGUGAUUCGUUGAUUCGAAAUUUUUUUUAUGCUAAAUGCAGAUAAGAAUCGGUUAACGUAAUUCUACUAACUAAUUAUGUGUUUUUGCUGAUUUUCUUUCUCCCAAGUUUUGCAACCCAAUCUUGUUUGUCUCUCAAUUUCUCAUUCUGGUGGAACUGGAUUCAAAGGUUCCAUACAACCUUAUCAACGGCCUUAGCAAAGCUCCAAGGAUUAAUAUUACUAGGGAAGGUUUUCUUUUCUUUUCCUUUCUUAUUUUUUCCCUUUUUUCCUAGAACAGUAGUAAUAAAAGAGAACCAAACCAGCUUGCUGAUUUUCUAGAGAAUCGAGGAUGCAACUCAAAUUGGAAUCCUGCUUAUUAUGUGGCAACUUUUCCUUCCUACCUUAGCCACGGGCAAUACCUAUUGGACUAGACAAUGUUCACUGAAGCUUACAUGAGGAAUAUCUCUGUCCCUCUAGUUCCUUUUACUCCUUAAUUUCAUUUAGGACAGCGAUAUUGGUAAUCACUUGCUUCAUAUUUUUUCAAAAUAAAAUUUGUAAAGAGGAUAAAGUGCCAAUACAAAAAGUGGAUACCAAUGCUAUCACCAUUUUUUUUUGGUAAAUUAGCAAGGGUCCUGGCUAGAACCUACACCAUCAAAGGUAAUAUCAAAAGAACAAUAUGAAAAUCUUUUUUUUUUUUUGUUCUUUUUAUCUUUCCACCUGUACCCAAAAAAAUUGAACACCUUCCAUAAUCGAAGGACCAUUAUUUGACGUAUGCUCGUUAACUUUCACUAUCACUGCUAAUUGUUAUUUUUAUACACAAGAAUUGAACCAAGAUAAUUUCUAAAGUAUAUCAUUUUGAACCACUACGGCAUCACUAGAGGUGUCAAAUGGGUGAUAGAUCAUAAUUAGGUAAUAGGUAUAAUGUUGGGUUAAUUGAUGUAUAUCCAUUCAAUGAAUUGGUCAAAAUGGGUCAGCCCAUUUAAUAAAUGGGUAUAGGUAUAUCUAAUUUUCUAAUCAUGGCUCCCUUGUUCUUAAUUUUUUCAAUGUUGUUUGACAAAAAAAUAACGUUAUUUAUUAUUAUUUGGUUGUUAAGAAAUUCAAAUUUAUCCACUUAACAUCUACUAAAAAAUUAGUUUAAAUGAGUAUAAAUGAACAGUGCGAGUCAACCUAUCCACCAAUUAAAUAGGUUUAAUUGAAUCACUCAUUUAAACCUAUUCAAAAUUCAUUGCAUACUCAAAUCCAUUCAUUAGUGAGUUGGUUUAAACAUAUCAACAUAAUUGAAUUGUAAUUGAUAUCUAUAGGGUCUUCCUUCAGGGGUUGACGUGUUGCACAUUGCGUUGAAUGAGAAUCUGGCUACAUCAAGUUGGACUAGUAAUACUAAUACCAUAUUCUGUCCAGGCUGAGAUUUCCUCUAGCAACUUUAGGAUACUGCGAAAUUGCUCGUACAUUUUUUUUAUUACAAAGUAUGAAAUCAUCGAAAAGUUACCGGUUUUUCAUUUCCAAAGUGAUAAUAGUGCCACUCUAUUAGGAUCGAAGACAACCAAGUGAAAGAGAUAAGCAGUGUAAAGAUCACAAACGUAACAAUAAAUAAAUAAAAAGGAAAGAAUUGCAAACCAAUUAACUACCCAACUCCUCUUGAGCUUGUAGAUUAAUUCAAAUAAGUUUCUUCAAAUUGAUGAAUUACAAUCACUCUUGUGUACAAAUGAAGGUUCACCUUCUCCUUGCCUCGAACUCCACUCGGUCAAGCCAGGACGUUUUACUAUCCCUCAGGACAACCCUCACAGAGCUACACUCAUGAAGUAUUCACUCACAAAUGAAAAUCUUACAAUGAACCUCACACCACUAAGACUACAAAUCUUCUUUGAAGAGUAUUUUCUCACUAAAAUCACUCUAGAUCUUUUGUAUCUUUAGUGUGCAAAAGUUGUUUGAAGUAUCUGACCAACCACUAUUUAUAUAGGAUCAAGAAAGUGCCUCAUUAGUGCUUCCAACGGAUAGAAAGUAGCUGAAGAGUCAACUAGCCGUUGGAGUGUCGGACGUCCAAUAGCCCUGUUUUAUGCGUCCGACAGCAGGCAGUGAGUUUAAGAGAUUUUCUUCAAUUCUUUCGGAUGUCCGGUGCAAGGUUUUUGUGCGUCCGACAGCAAACAAAGAGAUUUGAGAAAUUAUCUUGUUUCUAUCGGACGUCCGGUAGAGACAUAUUCAGCGUCCGAUAGUUUUGUCGACUUCGAAGAAUCCUAUCGGACGUCCGAAGCAUGCGUCCAAAGUUGUGCAAUGAUUAUCAGACGUCCGGUACUGUCUUCUUGAGCGUCCGACAGGUUCAACAUAUUCUGUCUUUUUCAAAUGUGCUUAAUCUUUGAACCUGAUUUGUUUCAUUACUGAAAAAGCCUUUGAGGAGAUGUUAGCAACAUCCAUUUGUUUUGUCAUCAUCAAAAGUUAGGGACCAAGGUCAACACACUCCAAUUACUAUUAACCGCACCUUAUAUCUUUUAUAAUUUUUGUAAAAGAACAUUAAAAAAAUAUGGUGCCAAUAACAGCAAGUACUAGAGUGCCAAUAUGAUCAUUAACUGACAGAAACUGUAGUUCUGUUCAUAUAUCACAUAUCUCUGAUUGAACUACAAUUACACUUUUUCAUCUUUUUUCUUGUAUUAGAACUAGUACUUCAUAUAUAAAACGAUUACGUGGCUCAAUAUGCAAUGGCCUCCAAUUAGAUAUCGUGCGAACUUGAAGAUGACUUUUUCCCUUCAGUACUUUUGAGAAGCUAGCUAUCAAAGAAACAAUUAUGAAAAGUAUAAAGGACAACUUUAUAUUUCUUGUGUUUGAUUAAUGUUCUGUGGUUUACGUCAAAGGUUGAACUAAACAAAAUGAAGACCAAGUAUUUUAGGUACUAAAAAUUAGAAUUCAUGCUUUUCUUUCUUUCCAUUUUCCUAGUCAAACUGGUAUACUAGGAUCCUAAAUUUCACCGGCUGCAGCUUGCCUUUUUAUACAUGACAAGCAUUUUUUGCCUACAGCGUAAUACUAGGAAAAUGUGCCUGAACAAUAAUAUAGUGUAGAAUAAAAACCAUCAUUGUGUUGCAAUCAUUUAGGUUUGCUUAAUUUAAAACAAUCAUAUUAGUGGAUUCACUGGAAAAAUUUAGCCUUUGUAGGUGCAUAAUUGAAUGUUAUUUUUAUUUGCUGGCUUUGUACUUCCUUAACUAAUGCAAGAACCUGUGAGCCCUUUUGAUAUCAUUCCAAAGAAGACUAAGUAGUGAAGUUGAAAGCAUGUAUAUAUUUUGAAGAUCCUUCUGGAAGUGAAUCACAUGUGAAGCACGCAGGCAAGGCGUGGUUGUGUGAGGGCAUUGAGUGUAUAGCUUACUCAAGAGUGGCAUGAAAUCAUGGUGUUUGUAGCGUGAACCUAAGGUAACUCCAGAUGGUACCUCAAAAGAAUAUCCUCAUUAAAUUAAAAUGUAAAGAUAGCUUGAAACAAGGGAAAAAGAAGCAAAUUGUGUGGAAGAAUGCAACACAAAAGAAAAAGGUAGCACGAAGCUGUCUUCUUCCACUACAAAUUUGAAUGCAAAUAACAGUAGUUUUGCUUGCUUACUCUUGCUCUCUUUAUUUCAUAGGUAAGCUAUUUGAAUCCUUAUGCCUCUUUUUUUGUUUGCUCGAUAAAUGAAGGAGAGAAACAUUCGGCAGCCUCCUCUUUUGGCUAUAUUGAUUUGGUAUUAUUAUUGAGUUGGUUUUUUGCCUGAUUUUGGCUUUGUGGUGUCUAAGCUAACAAUUUAACCUUUACUUCUUGUUAAUUGUUAGAUUGGUUGAGCUGUUGAAAAAGGUUAAAUACUCCACUCUUGUGAUCUUCCAUAGGUGGAAAUGGAGACUGUACUAGCGCGGUUAGGUUGUGAGCCACACACGUUGAUACGGCAGUGAAUCAGUAAUUUAAAGCUAUCAUGACUAGUUUUCUUACAUACAAGUAGAAGUUUUCUUUCUUCAGUAAAUUCUAUGAAUAUGAAUUAACUGUAAAAAAAUUCUCAUAUAAUUGGAUAUAGAACAAUAUGAUGCUAGUUCAUGAACUGGUGAAUGGAUAAUUUACAUGCCAAUUUGAGAAUUGACUAUUGAAUUACUCCCAAUAUGUGCCACUUCAUGAAGGUUUACUUGGAAGGUAAAUGCUGUUAACGACUAAAAACAAACGUAAUCACCUUUUCAUUUAUCAAGAAGUUCUAACUACAACUCCUCCAUCGGAGCAGCGAAUAAUGAAAUAGAUAAAGUUGGGUCUUGGUCCUCCUGGAUAUUAGAGUACAUUGACAAGAAACAAUUCUCGUACAAACCCGAUACUUAAAAAAUGAUGCAAUACUCUUUUUGUACUAUAUUGCAUUAAAUGCCUUGAUCUAUAAAUGGCUAGAAAACUUCAGUGUAAGUUCUUUUCAAUUAUAUGAGAAAUGCAACUCAAAGAUAGUAGUUGCCUUCAAUUUGCAACCCCUUCAUUAAAAAUAAAAAACUAUGAUGAAAAUGGAGUUGACCUAUCAGUUCUUCUCACCGGAACAAGAGGGAAAAAUCUUGGACUCGUUAGGUAAGUAGCAUGAUUAAUUUGUUCAAACACCAUUAAGUAUCAGUUACAUUACUUUCUUCAUCACAUACUAUUUUUAACUGAUCGGGCAAAGUCCUAUAACCAUCCAACCAUGUGUAUUGUGCUCGAUGCCAAACUGCUCAUCUUUUUUUUUUUUUUUUUUUAAAUCAAAUUUAGGCUUCAGUUCAGGGACUGGUAAAGGAUAUCAGCUCAUAAAGAGAUUGACUGGACAGUGAGCUGGACGUGAUAAAUUUACCACCCAGAUGAAAUAACUAGACUUUCCUUUUUCUUUGUGUUUAUACUUGGAAUGGAAAGUGUACACAUAAUCUGGCAAGCCAUUGUAGUAUGUGAGGAACCUUUGCUUGAUAACACCACCACUUUAGCUGAAGUAUGUACUUCUAUUAGGGAAAUUUGCCAAAUUGAUCCCUAACAUUUUCACAAAAAUUUUUUUUAGUCCCUAACAUUUAAAAUCAGUCAGAAUAGUCCCUAACAUAUAAAUUAUGAGCCAGUUUGGUCGUAAUGCUCGUAUUUGCUCAUUUCUCCGACUAAAAACAGCACACCUCUCUCACAUGAGCAUAAUUUGAAGAGCAAAAUCGGAAAACAUUCGUUAAUCCAUGAUUUUACAGGCAAAACCCUCUUUGGAUUCCUAUUACUUUUCUCCCUUUCCCUCGACACCAUUUUGCAAACUAGCCGGAAACCAUCAACAAAUUUCACCUUCUCAGUCAAAGCAGCUUUUGCACUUUCCUUGAUUUCCCUGUCCCCAUAUCAAACCCCCAAGCCCUUCUUCAAUUUCACCAUACCUCUCAAAAUAAUUCAACAAAGUCUCAGAACUCAUCUCAGUUGGUUGGCACAUUCUCCACCAAUUUUAUUGCUAACAAACCCAUUGCUGACAAACCCAUCAAUUUUAUUGCUAGGGUUUUCUAGGGCAAGCAAGAAAGACUCAACAGUCAACAUUCUUGAAAGUAACAAAACCAUAGACUUUUGAUAAAAAUCUUGCGGUAGGAUGGGAUGUCAUCAACGAUGGAAAGAACGGUAUGGAGAAUGCUAGGAUGGACAAUCGCAGCUUCUGAAGGAUUCAACAAUUUGGGAUUUCGUGAAGGAUUGCAAAAUGCAAAAUUUCACCUUCUUCAAACUUCAAGUUUUCUGGUUCUCUUGAGAUCAUCAGGCUUUGGGUUAGUGGUGAUGGUGGAAUGCAUCUGAUGGAGUAGGUGCAGGGAAAAUGACUCAAGAUUGACUCUAGGAGGAGUGGGUGGAGUUAUGGAAGAGUAGCCAUUGAGAACUUGAGCUUUGAAGAGAAUAUUCUCUUUCUUUAAGAGUCUAAAACCAUGGAUUAACGAAUGUCUUCCGAUUUUGCCCUUAAAAUUAUAUCCACGUGAGAGAGGUGUGCUAUUUUUAGUCGGAGAAAUGAGCAAAUACGAGUAUUAUGACCAAAUUGGCUCAUAAUUUAUAUGUUAGGGACUAUUCUGGCUGAUUUUAAAUAUUAGAGACUAAAAAAGUUUUUUGUGAAAAUGUUAGGGAUCAAUUUGGCAAAUUUCCCUUUCUAUUAUAGUAUUAAAUUUAACCCCCAGUGUGAAAUGAUGCAGUAAAAAAAUAGCUAAAGAAAGAGAAGUGCACAGUUCCAUGUCUAGCAGUUAGAGAAAAGUAAUUAUGGCGGGUCACAAAGAUGGAAGACUGAAUUGGAACAAAACGUCCAAGUUAGACUGACAAAGUCGUUGAAAGUAGUACUAUUGAUUAAAAGCUAUACAUUGAUUCAAGUUGAUGACCCAAAAAUCCAGAGUCACCAAAGAGGUGUAGACUAGAUUCGUGGUUGCUAGAGUUGAGCUUUAAAUUCCAUCCAUUUGGAUACACAAAUACAGCCGAUCGAUUAGGAUUAAUUAAUGUUAGCAAGAAAGUGCAGUUCCAAUGAUGUAACUUGUGAUGAUGUAUGGUAGUCUUUUUGGUAGAAAUAUGAAGAAAAGAGGUGAAAAGAUUAUUGUUGACUCGUUCCUUUUGGGGGACAUAAUUUGGAAGUCAUAAGCCGGCAAAAGUUAUCAUAGGUGGUUUCGUUUGUUUCUCCAACCUUCAAAAUUCCACACGAAGAAGGCCAAUCAAGACUUUCCCCACCACUUACCACUCGGUGUCAUGGAUCGAUUGCAUGGUGCAUAGAAAUGUGAAGGCACUUGCUAUUAGGUUUUUCUCGUCUGUUCUAAGUUUCUUUCGUUUUCAAUGGAAGCAGGACCGACCCACCGACGCAAUGCGCCUCACAUCCAACUAUAAAAAGCCACCCAACCCAAUCCUCUCCUCUCAUAACUAUGCUCACUUGAUUUAUGUGGCAUUGGCUGAUUUGAUCAUCCAUUAACUAAAGAUUAGCGUUAUCAAAGUCAAGACUUAAAGAGACUGGGAACUGGUCUCCAGAUUGGUGAAGCUUUAUGAUUUUUUGUCCGAGCCAAUUAUUCAGAUUUUAUACUUGAAACUUGGUUACAAAUAACUAGCUAUUUUUCCAAUUCAUGCAAAUUUAAAGCGUUAAUUCUUUUCAAUCAUACUAAAAAGAUUUUGUUAAAGAUGUGCUAAUCUCUCUACUUAGAAUUGCCCUAGACAAUUGGAGCCGUAAUUGUUAAAUCCUGAUCCAAAAGAAGAAUCAGGUCUGCUUAAUUUUCUUUUCCCUUGUCCUAACUCUCAUAGUAGAAAGUUCUGUUGAAGUUGAAGAUGACACAUCCACUUAUAUGUAAGGACAGAGAAUCAAAAGUUUUCUUUUACUUCUUGAAUAGGGGAUUCGACGUUCUAAUCCCAGUAAAAUGUGCCAUUGGAAUUGCACGCGAUGCGCAAUCUCAAAUAUCUCAUCCACUGAAACUAUAAGAAAAAGGAAAAAGUUGUAAAGAAAGAAAGCAAACAAAAAUGAAGUGGUGGUAUAUUCUAGUAUUUGGUCAUGGUAGCAGUAGUUCUGAUUACACUUUCCUUUAGGCUUUUUCUUUUUGUGUGAAAAGCAAGAUAGAUAGGGGAGGAAUCCCAUUAGGCAUUAAUUCUGUGUAAAGAAUAUUAGCAUGAUCAUUUUGACCUUAAAAAAAAAAAAAGCACAACAUUGCAUGGAUCCUUCUCCAUGGAUGUUUCGAUUGUUUUCAAUUGAAAAUACGUGUAACUCUGCUGAAGACUCCGGAUAUUUCUGGUCGUGGAACCGAAUUUUCUUGUACACACUGGUUCAAUUAAGAAUCAGGUUUCAUUUUAAAAUUACUUUUCUAUACAGUGAUAUAAUGUAGUAGUAUAAACUAUCACUAUUAAAUACAUGACAAUUAUCUAAAUUUGAAUUUAAAAUUCAAAUCUUAUAUAUGUAUUAUGUAUUCAACCAACCUAAUAUCGUAUACAUGUUCAAUUCAAUGUAUAUAAUCUUAACUCUUCAUUCUAAUAAAAAUAAAGUACUUCAGAAGCUCAAAUAGAAUGCUUAAUUAACUCUUCAUUGUUUGAAUUGCUUGUUUCCGUCGGAAAAUAUUAUCGUUUUCCGUGAUCACAUUUCCCUAUCACAUUUUUUCCUCACAUAUAUCAAAUCGCUACAGUAAUUUUUCCAUGAAAAAUGACGGAAAAUGCAAUCCAAACACAACCUAAGAUUCCACGAUAACGGCCUCAACUUCUUUGGAAACAUCCGUUGUCCCCCAGGCCAAAGAUUAAUUAAACAGGACCACAUCCGUACCUCCUUAAACAUAAUCUAGUUGAAUGAAAGAAAAGGUCGUAGGUUGCAUGGGAACUAAUAAACAUAUAUUACAUCAAUUGCCUAAUACAAGUUAACUCAAUUAAUAAGGAUAGAUCACUUUUUUUGUUUUAUCAAAGGCCGUGUUUUCAAAUCCAGCUGUCCAUAUGAGAGGCAUGUAUAAUUCGUGUUCCGAAUUCCAAUAUCAAUAUGAAGGCUGUAUUGGUGAAUGAUUUAUAAAAAGUUCUAUAAGUACGUUUUGUAUUUGAAUACCAUUGUCAAUUUGAAGGAUGUUGGUCGAUAAUAGGUAAUAAUUCCUUUUCGAGUGCAUGUUUUAACUUGUGACGGUGACGAGUCGAAUUCAUCUAAACUUUGUCUAUCCAAAAAAUAUAUAUAAGUACUUUAAUUGCAAUACGCAAUUUUUUUUGGGGGGCACGAAAUCCGUAAGCCGACCAAGGCCUCCUUGCCCAUAAAUUUGAUUGGUUUCGUCAUGUAUCAGAGUUUUGACUUUUGAUUUUUGUGCAUUGAUAAUUUCUGUUGACCGAAUAUCCCUAUAGUUAAUUGAGCACAGAAAAUUCUAAAAUAUAACCAGAAACAAGAACAUCGUUGGUGUUGAAUAACUCUGCUCUGGAACGAAACCUUCAAAUGUCACCGAUAAAAUUUCUACUCUUUGAGUCAUCCAUCCAUCUUGAGAGAUGUGGUGGUCGAAGUUGACUUUAUUUCCAACCCCAGAACCAUGAACUAAUGGACAACACAAAAAAGUAAAAUGCCCAAGCUUGCAAGUUGGAUGGUUGUUGAAUGUUGAAGAAUAUUAAUUAGUGGUUUUAAUCAAAUAGCUACUACAUAUUAUCAACAGCUUCAAUUCUUUUUCUUUUCCUUUUUUCUUUUGAAUUAGAAAAAAUCAAUUAAGUUCUCUUUGCUUUAAUUGGUAAUUUUUUUUCAAUUGGAUAUACUAGUUGCAAUUUUCUUUUGUCAAGAAGUCAAUUGACUUUUACUGACUAAACAAACCUAAUCCCCAGAGCAUACUCCAAAAGCCGGCAACUCUUGGAGCAGCCCCAGGAGACUUAUCUACCCAACAAACCCCAACCCCCUCCCCGAUGUGGGACUAUAACUCACUCAACCACCCUGCUACUAAGAGUGUACUAACCCCCAAGUGAAAUUGAGAAAUGAGUUUCGUCUUUUGUCAAGAAGUCAAUUGACUUUUACUGACUAAACAAACCUAAUCCCCAGAGCAUACUCCAAAAGCCGGCAACUCUUGAAGUAGCCCCAGGAGACUUAUCUACCCAACAAACCCCAACCCCCUCCCCGAUGUGGGACUAUAACUCACUCAACCACCCUGCUACUAAGAGUGUACUAACCCCCAAGUGAAAUUGAGAAAUGAGUUUCGUCUUUUGUCAAGAAGUCAAUUGACUUUUACUGACUAAACAAACCUAAUCCCCAGAGCAUACUCCAAAAGCCGGCAACUCUUGGAGCAGCCCCAGGAGACUUAUCUACCCAACAAACCCCAACCCCCUCCCCGAUGUGGGACUAUAACUCACUCAACCACCCUGCUACUAAGAGUGUACUAACCCCCAAGUGAAAUUGAGAAAUGAGUUUCGUCUUUUGUCAAGAAGUCAAUUGACUUUUACUGACUAAACAAACCUAAUCCCCAGAGCAUACUCCAAAAGCCGGCAACUCUUGGAGCAGCCCCAGGAGACUUAUCUACCCAACAAACCCAGUACUGUGAUUUUCUGCUCGACACGUCUGGAGCAUGUUGUUUAGGCAAUGAAAAGGAGCUCCAAGUUACUCCAAUUUCCAAAAAAUUACAAAAAAAAAAUUGGCUUGCUGAAAAUGCUGGCCAUAUAGUUAUGCUUCGUGGCACUAAAGGAAACCCAACAUGACAUUUGAUCCUAGGAAAUGACAAGUGUCUCCUUAUAUCACUUUCAAUGUGUUUAAUUAUCAAACCCUAAAUAAGUUUUUUUGACUUUGUACUUAAGUCGUAACCCCUGGAGAAUUAUAUAUAAUUCAUUCAUAAACAAAAGCCGUAACCCCUCAAGAACUAUAUACAAUUCCUUCAUUCAUAAUAGAAAGAAGUCGUAACCCCUCUAAAAUUCGUCUCCUAUCCUCUGCCAUUGGCUCUAAAGAUGUAAUGAAUACAACGUAAUUAAGGAGAAAGUAAACGAUAAAAAAUCAAAAUCACAAAGAUAACGCUUUAAAAAUCUUGAAAGUGUCUUCGCCUAUGUUUACAGGAUUCAGUCGUUCUACUUUAUUAAUUACUUACUUGUAUUUAUAUUAGACGAAAAGAAUAUAGUAAUUUAUUAGUGUUCUUUUACGAUUAUUAAAAAAAACAAAAAAAGAAGAAGAGGUAAGCAGUAGAAAACCAAAAGCAAGCAGGUUGGCCAAUCGAUAUCCACUCAUCAAUGUGAGUAAAGGCUGUGGUAUAUUUUCACUCACCAUGCAUGAACCUGAUGCUACUAGGCUUUCUCAUUGAUAACACAACACAACACCAAUGACCAAACCGUCCAUCAAUAUUCCCCUUUAACAAUUAAACAAAGCAUAGCAUUUUUCACUUUGCAUUUAUCUUUUCAAGAUUUUCCAAGAAUUGAAUGGUAUAAAAGUUUAAUGUAAAUUAUUUGCUCCUAAAAAUUGAAAUGAAAUUAAACUAUUGAAUUCUGUGGAGUGUGUACUAGACUGAAAAAAAUUUCAGAUCUCCAACCGAAGCCUGGAACAGUUGCAGGCACCACAGAAAGUAAAAGUACAAAAAAGAUGAGAGAGGAAAAGAGGAGACAAAGACAAGGAAAGAACAGAGGAAAUACUAAGAGGGAAUUAGCUUCCUCUGUUGUUGCUGAGCUUCAAUUCCACCGAACUCUAGUACUAUUAGGACAGUUGUGACAGGUGGAACUUGCUUUUUAUCAUUAUUUAUUAUUUCAUUUCAUUCACACACCUUCCUUUCUUAAGCAACUUCUUUCCCCCAAAAAAGCCAAAAAAAAAAAUUUUUUUUUUUGUUCAAGAAAUUACAAAGAAAAUGCCUACUCGGAUUGAUUGAACAGAUGGAAUGGAAAAGAAAACCAUGAGAUCAGAGCACUUUCCAUACUGCUUCAAGUCUUCCAACUCCCCCCUUCCCCACGCAGUCAAAAUAGGGGGAAAAAAAAUAAAAUAAUGAAAGCCACAUUGAAAUGGCCAAACUGUGAUCCGCACUUGGUAGGAAGCCGAACCACUGCGCCCCACAAAACUGAUUCCCUGUCACUGUAGCGACACGAGAGUUAAUCCCAUUGGUAAAUAUGAACGAUUUGUUCUUUGUUCAGAUCAAUUACUUGUAUUGGAGUCUCACUUGGGAUUUUUCUCCUUGUCACCUAUAGCAUAUAUGAAAAAGCAACCAAAAAACAUAAUAGCAGUACCGUAUUUCCAUUAUACCGAAAAGUGUUGGCACAUGCAAGAGCUCUUUUCUGCAUAAUCUUGUUACAAAUUGGGAAGAGUUUUAGCUAUCAGUACUGAUUAAAAUGAGUUGCCUUGGGUUAAAUGAUGUUGUAGCUGUCAAGAGUAACAGGAUUUGGAAUGAAGCGAAUUACAGGCCAAUGAUAAGUAAAAUGGGCAAAAAUCAAGAAACCCUUUCUAUCCAAUGGUUUAAAUUACAUUCUGAUUAGUAAACCGAUGGGAUUUCAUUCAUUCAAGCUACCCAAGAAAAGUUCAUCUGUUACUGUGAAUCUACUUCUUUUUUUUUUUCCCUGCAAAAAGUUCCUAAUUUGAAGAGUUUCAUUGCUUGAAUGGGUUGACAAAUUCAGCAUCAGAAACUGCAGAAAGUUCGAUUUGACUGAUCUCAUCAUCAUCAACUGGAGCUGGAAGAUUAAGAUCUAUGAAAGCCUCUCCAAAUCUUGAAAAUGGUUUAGCUGCAGGACUAGUCCUGAUACUGACAUGUGUGGUUGCUGCCGCCGCUGCCGCUGCUGCAGCUGCACCCAUGACAUGUGAUCUCUUGUGCCCACCUAGAGCCUGACCUGAUGAGAAAAUUCUGUAGCAAAUUGGGCAUUCAUGUAUCUUCUCUUCAACCACCACACUAGAAACUGCAGCAGCUGAGGCCGCAUUCCCUGUUUCCACCCCUGCUACUUCUUCCUCUGUUGAAUUGCUGUUGUGGGCUUUAAUUCUCUUGUGACUGGCUCUGUGCCCCCCCAAAGCCUGAUAAGAGCGAAAUGCUUUGUUACAUGUUUCACAUCUGUACUUCCCCCUAGUCCUGCUCUUGGUUACUUUAACCACACCAAAAUCAUGACAGUACUGGCUCUUUGCAUCUUUAUUCUUUUUCUGCUUUUCUGGUUCUUCAUGAUCAGCCUUUCCUUCCUCUGCCUCCUCCUCCUCCACUUCUUCUCCUCCGUACAUGGCUUCUUCUUCAUUGUCUUCUUUCUUCCACUUGUCUCUAGAUAGCAUCAUCAAGCAAUAAGCAACAACUUCUUCUGUGGUGGUAUCAGAGAUUGAACUAACGGGUUCAGCAUCCGCAAAUGGUAAUUCACAAGAAAACCUGCCCUGUUUUCCGGACUUGGGCUUUUUCAGUUCUGCCAUGCUAUCAUUAAUAUAACCGGAAAAUUGGACUGCAUCCGAAACUCUUGAUUUCCUAACUCUUUUGGAUCUUCUACAAAUCGGAUUCUUUGAUGACUCGGUCUCACUCUCCCUAUCCUGAACAACAACAGAAUCAGCAGCAGCGGUUACCUCAACUCCUCCAAAACAGAAUUCUUGAUCCAUCACCAUGUCAACCUUUUUCUUUGGAUUAAUCUCUUCAUCCUCUGACGAUGAUGAUGAUGAAAAAGAUGAUGAUGGCACUGACUCAAACUCUUCACUAAUUUGCCUCUCAUCAUUAAUGUUCAUAACUUCUUCUUCUUCAUGCUCCUCUUUGAUGAAUUCCUGCUUGGCCUUGGUUGCUGCGCACAGAUUCAUCAUGUGAGAUCUCAUGUGCCCACCCAAAGCUCUGCCAUUAGCAAAACUCCUAAAGCAUAGCUUACAUCUGUGCUUCUCCAUAUCAAAGAAGCCAAAAUCAACUUCACCCCACCAAAAAUUUUUUGCCUCUUCUCUUUUUUUUUCCCCCCCUCUAACUUAGGAUUAGGACUCUCUCUCCCUUUAUGCUUUUGUUUUUUGUGGAGAGAAGUGCUUGGGAGGCUGCUUCUUCCUCUCUGGUUUGAAGCAUAAAGAGAGUGGAAGGAAACUAAAAGGAGUAGUUGACAAGCAUUUCUUUACACCGAGGAGAGUGACUAUUUAUAUGAGCCUACACGAACAACCAUUGAAAAUAUAAUAAUAAUAAUAAUAAUCUAGUAAAGCAGUCUUGAGAAUUCGGUUCAGAUUUCUUUAAUUUGAGGAAGUAAAUCUUUUUUGUUUUUGUUUUUGUUUUUGGUUAAAAACGGCAAACAGCAAUAAAUUAAGAAAUUGUACUGCUUAAUUAAUUGAGGGGUAUGCAUGAAGACGUGUAACAUGCGAGUUUUUGCAUUUAAGUCUAUCCGCAUCUUUACAUUCCUAAACAGCCCUUAAUAACUCUGUUUCUUUUCUUUCUUCCUUUCCAUUCCUUUUAUCUUUUUUUGGUGGGUUUUGUUGGAUGAAUGAUUAAUAUUACCUAUCUUGCAAGUUUAAUGUGGAGGUUAUAUAGUAACCAAAAUAAUCCAAUAAUAAUAAUAAUAAUAAUAAUUAAAGAAAUGGCCCCAAACUAGUUAGCAGUGACCUGAGAAGAAGGGAACAACUACAACCUCAGUAGGACAUUAUUGUGUUUGACAGAACUGUAUGGGCUGGUGGUAUACUCAAGAUUAAUAACGGAAUGUGGCUGCUUUGGUAGAGUAAAUUUCGAGUAAUUAAAUACAAUUAAAAGUCGAAAAUCACUUAAAUUAAAAGCCAGUAGAUUCUGUUACCUUUUGGCUGGUUAAAAGGGGCCAAAGUACAAAGGUUUGGAAAGUGGGGCUGGUUCAAGAAUGCCAUUCCAUGCAUGACGUGGGAAUUUAUCUUGGGGGACAUAGAUUCAUAAUUAAUGAGUCAUAAAAAGAUUAAAGAGUUUGGUAUUAUAUUUGGAAAAUCUGCCCCUUUAAUUUUGGAUCUUUGGUUGAAAUGUGUGAUAAAAAUGUGGGGUGGGGAAAUGAGGAGGAAACUAACUUCUUUCCUUUGAGAAUGGAGUAUUCUAGGGGAGUAAAGUAAAUGCCGUUUUAUUUGGGCAAAUUGGUGGACCUGGUCCUCCUUCUUCUUCUUUUGCCUUUCAUUUGAACAAGCAUAAGAUUUUUUUUUUUUUUGGGAUGGGUUGAGUCGGAGACUUUGAACCCAUGCCCUACUACUUACAAUUCCUCUCAUCUUAUCACCCGACCCAAUCCGGUCUACUGAACAAGCAUUAGAUGACACACUACGAUGUAGUUUUCAUCUAUUUCUUUUUUGUUUUCCCCAUUACAUGUACAAUUAGCCUCCAACUCAGUCCUUGCCCGGUGAUUUGUUUUUUUCUGUAUUUUGUACGAUGAAGUUAAUGCUAGAAAUUUCAUUGGAACUAGUUUAACAUAAAACGAAAAUGUAAAAAUCAUCAUUGGCGUAGUUAUUUUUUUCCCUUCUCAUUUAGUUUUUUCUUUAAAGAUUUUUUCAACGGGUGCCCAACCAUUGAACACUCGUUAAUACACGCAAAUCAUACUCAACCUAUCAUGUAUAUGUACAUGCUAAUAAUUAUUAUCCACCUUUACAUUUAUACACUUUUCCAAAUUAACUUUAUUUUUUUCUAAAAAUUUAACCUUUGACGAACAUUUUAAUGGGUGUUCGAAAAUUAGGUGCAAUACGCAAAAGUCAAUAGUGUGGUCAAGGUGCAGAAGCUAGUACUCAUCUCAAUAAGAAAGAGCUUAUAUAAUAAGUAAAAUUUCAUAUUCUGAUUUUGGGUAAUAGUGCUAUUGGAUCAAAGAUGACAAGCUCAAGAAUUGCAUUUUAAUAAGGGUCGAACGCUAAUGUUUAGCUGAAAGCAUCCAUUUCAGCUUAAUCAAGCUGUAGUAAUUGAAAAUCUUCCAGUCACAGAUGUUACUAUCGAGUGACUUUUAUGCUAAAAUCUUCUUCUUUAUUUUUUUUUUUUUUGAAAACGUACGAGAAUGUCUCUUGAAUGCUCACUCACCUAUGUAUUGGUUUGUAUAAAUGGCACCUAAUGAAUUACUUUUGAAAUAACAACAGUGCAAAAAAGAAAAAGAUUUUCAUUAGGGUUAUAUGUAUAUAUGGACCAAAAGUAAACAAGAAAAGAAAUACGAGAGGUUAAUGAUAAGAAGUUGUAUUUAGGGAAUUCAGGGGCAGGACAUAUAACUUGUCUAGUGGGAGUGCUGGCAUCUUCAUGAGACAACUAGCUACUAUAUAUAUAUAUAUAUAGUGGAAGAAGCCAAGAAGGGCUGUUUGACAUGUUAAUAAUCCACUUCGUAAAAUGGGGCUAAAAUCUUUCUUUGUAUAUUUUUUUCUUUUUCUUACUAGGUUGCAGGUCUGUAUCUCCAACUUGGUCAUACAUUUUACAAUUUUACCAGAAAAACAAAAAGGUCAUGCAUUUACAAGCUGCAGUAUCUUUUCCCAAAGUCAUGAACUUUAGCCGUGAAUCCACAAAAUCCUCCACCCACUGGUCCAAAAAGCAGUAACAAGGGAAGAAGAUGAAUAAAAACUAGUCGCUGGCACGAUUUUGAUUAGUCAAAUUUAACAGUAGUAUCUUUUCAUUGCCAACAGACUUACAUUAUUCAUUCAUUUUUCCUUCUUCUUAACUGGGUUGGGUGGGGGAAAUUUUGGCAUGAGAGGAAAAAAUCAGUUGAAAAUGACAUUCAUCUAAUUCGUCUUAGAAACUCCACAGUGAAUUUUCAACGUUUCGAAAAUUUACAAAUGCUAACGGGUGUGUGCUCGCGCGCAUACACGCACACAUACAUUAUGACUAGUCCUUUCAUCAUUUUCACACAUAAAAAUUGUUGAUUACUUAGCACACUAUACAAGAAAAUAGUUCCAUAACUUCUACUGAACUCAAAAAUAUAUAUAUAUAUAGACAGGAUCACUAACUGUAUGUAUAUUAUUAUCAUUAGAUGUAUAUAUAUAUAUAUAUGAUAAUUAAUCUUAAUUUAAAUAUAAAAAAGUACCCUUUAUUCCAAGUAGACGCAUCUUAUGCCGUAAAAAGAAAAAAGUAGGCUGAGUUUAGAAUACGAUCAUGGCAAAAUUUGCGGGAUUAAUUCAGGGGCCCUUACAACUUCACUAUCAAGUCCCAAUCAUUUUUCUUGUAGUUUUGCGUGUUGGAGGGACAGUCAGAGUCCAACAACGCGUAACCCAUUUUUGGUACUACACCACUCGUCUGUAUACUGUAGAGGAACUGGACUCUGAACUCCCUUCCUUGGCUGCUUAAUCUUUUGUUUAAAGUUUAAUAUCAUGGGACAAUUCUUCUAAGUUUUGAUAAUCUACCAACUCCCUAGAAAAAAUGAAAAAGCAAAAGCCGCAUUAAUUAAAUUAAUUCUGGCAACUACACUUUCAAUGGAUCAAAUUAGCUCUGGCUCUUGACUUUUAAGUUCUCUCCUUUCUUAAACCAAGAACUCAUAAAAAUCUGAAACUUGAAGUAUUUUAGAUCAUUUUAGGGGUUAUAUUAUACGAGUAGCUUCAUACAUUUUGCUGGUUGCAUUUGAGAUUUUAGGGUGUGGCUCCAUCAUUUGCAAGGUGAAUUAGUCCAUGUCUUCAUGACAUGAGUAACAUGAUGGUUCUAGAUAUAUACUACAUAAUCAUCAUGGGAAUAUUAAAAAGCUCAAUCUCAUUUCUUGAACCCCAUUCAUAUUUGACCGAUUCAAUCACUUUGAGUAAUACUCCAUGCGAGUCAACUCACUCCAAUUUGUACAAUUACCUUAAAUUUUGUUAUUUCAGCAUAACACCCAUUGCAAUGGUGUGAUGGGGAAAGCAAUAAUACUUACUGUAAAUGCAUAAUUUCAAAAUAAAACGAGUUUAUUAUAAAUUCGGAAAACACUGCCAACUAAUUUUUCUUUCCAUACUUUUGGAAUCAAGGGCUGCCAACAGUGUGUUGUUAUCAAGUAACUUAUCAAUCCAUAUAUCAAACUAAUUAGUGGUUAGCCGAAAUUCUAUAAAUGCAAGGGUAAUGUUUUGAGAACUGACGCCUAGUAAGUAUUAAUAGUUCUUCACAAAAUUUGCUUGUACAUCUAUGAAUAUGCUUGAUUUCGUUCACAGAUCAUAUACAAAGGAAUGACAAAGAAAAGAAGACGGUUUCAAGUUUUUUGGUAUUUUCAAUUGCACUUUUUCUUUUUCUUUUUUCCCGUGAAAAUUGGAGCUUUUUGAACUUUCCUUUAAUUCAUGACCUUUUGAGUCUAGUCUAAGUUCCUCGUUUGUCAACAUUAUCAACGAGUCUAGCAUCUUACGCGGAUUUUAGUCAUGGUUGAAUUCAAUGCCUAGUGAUUCUACUUCUUCAUUUUCUCAGGAGCACUUAUAAUUCUUCGAAAUCUAUGGACAUGAAAUUUGGCAUACUACAAUUGAGGCAGCAAAGCAUAAUUGCGGAAGGUAGUUGUCGCUGGUUACUCUUUGCCCAGAAACGUAGUGCCCAGAAAUGAGUAGGGUAACUGAUAAAUUACAACAGCACAUUGCUAAUCAAGAAAACCAGAUAAAGAAAAUCAGUAAUUCUGUUAUUUUUUGAUCCCUUGCACUUGAAGCUGCGAAAAUCUGUUUCUUAUAUAAUUGGCUAAAAUGUUGGCCUUCUUUAUGUACAGUAUACACGGAUACAUGACUUUGAUAAGUUUUUCAGAAUUUUCUCUCAAAAAAAUAUCCAUCCCUCUACAGCUCUUUCAAAAAGUGAAUAUAAGUAGUAUAAAAAUUGUCACGAGAAUGAAAAACUUUCCAUGUACAUUUGGAUCGCUAAUUAUGAGUAUUGUGUAUGAUGAUACAAGAAGACGUAUAAUCAAAUCUCAAUUUGGAUCAGCAAUAAAAUACCUAGGGGUUAGUGUUGACUCGAGCUGUUGAACCAAUUCCAACUUGUAACCACUGUGAAGAAUUUCCACUUAAGUUUAUAUCUUUGAGGUCACUUAGCUUUGCCAGCUCCACCUUACUAUCAGCUUCAUCGUCCGCAUUUUCAAUUGGACCGUUACUACAAUUUAUGUUGUUCUUGUUGAUAUUACUAUCAUUGUGGCGAUCAUUCUCGUUGCCUUGAUCAUCAUCGUUCUGGUGAUGGCAAUUCUGGCUAUCACAUUUUGUUUCUGCACCUAAAUUGGGCGUCCAUGUGUGAAGGCGAAUAUCAGUAGAGACCUCAAAGCUCAAUGGAUUUUGAGGCCUUAAUAUGCCCAAUAGUUCAUGAUCGCCUUGAGUUGCUGGGAUGUUGAGAUCUAGUGUCUCAGACUUGUUGAUUAAUGGUGGACCCUGGUGUAGUAUUUGAUGAUCCAUGUGAUCAUGAUUGAAUUGCAGCUUCACCAGAGAAGAAGUUUCCUGGGAGUUGGAGGUGAUCCAAUGGCACCUCUUGUGUCCACCCAAGGCUUGUCCGGUAGAAAAGACCCUGUGACAAAUUGUGCACUCGUGCACUUUGGAUUUUCUCCUAGAAGCCCCUGCCAUUGUUGGGCCUUGUUCGAAUUGUAAGGACGAAGGAGAUUUGGAUGGAAAGAAUUCGUCAUGGAUGGUCACAUCGUCAUCAGCUAAACUGCUAUCAUCUUGCUGAUCUUGCUUAGCUGCAAAACAGCCCUUCACCUUCUUGUGACUUGCCCUAUGUCCUCCUAGCGCUUGAUGAGAAUUGAACACUUUCUUGCAUGCUUUACAUUCAAACAGGCCUUUGGAUGCACCUUUAGGCUUGUCUAAAGGGACUCGACUUGCAAUUAGCGGAGUGUUAAAGUAGGCCGUCACCGGAUUAAUCCGCCUUUCUUCCUCCUUACUGGCGGAAGCACAAGAUUCUUCCGGCUCAACUUCAAACCUAGCAUUUGCUAAAUCUACUAGGCAUCUUGCCAGGAGGAGAUCUUCAUCCUCACUUGAAGGAUAAGCUGAGCCAAAACUUCCCACUUUAGUCCUCAAUGACCUCUUCCUUUUAGACCAUUGACACCCUUUUCGCUCCCCCUCGUACUCUCCAUCAGAUCCUGGAGAGGACACCAAUGAUUCAGCAUCGUCAGAGCUACAUUUGCCAUGUUCAAGGAAAGAUUUCCAUGAGGCAAACUCUUUACCACAGUUCUCACAAAUCCUACAACUUUUUAGUCGAUUCGGAUUUGUCCUUAGCUGGUACAUUCUUCUACAUGUCCUAUCAGCCCCUCCAAAUUUAUCCUCCCAAUCACUUGCAACAUCAUCGUCAUCAAGACUUCCACCUUCAUCUCCAAUACCAUGAGCCCUCAUAUGCCCACCUAAAGCUCUCCCACACAUGAAACCCUUCUUGCAUAUCCUACAAUAGUGUUUAAACUUUGGUGGUUGAUCUUCUGUACAAUCCAUGAAUUUUUUUUUUUUUUUAAAAAAAAAUUAUUUUAGAAGGAGAAGAAGUUAAUUACUCAAGCACUGGGAAAUAUGUACAAAAGAGGGUUGGAGCCAGCUUCAUUUUGUAGCAAGAUUUGUUCAAUUGGGAGGUUACAUUAUAUGGUCAAAAGAAGGUUAGUCCUAGUUUUUAGUUUGAGUAGAGUUCUGUGGAUGAGAUUUAGAGGUAGAGAAAAAUAGGAGUGUGAGUAUAGUGUGUGUGACAAGUGGAAGGAGAAGAAGAAGUUAAGGACUUUUUCUACGACAUUGUCACGGUGGCGCUGCGCUGUGAACAACCAAACGGACGGCGGAGAAUGAUAAAUGUAUGGUAGGAUAGUUGUUUAUUUACAUUCUCUUCUAGGUAGAGCUGCGUACUAAAGAUGCCGAGUAUAUUUUGCGGAGUGAGUGGAGGAGUAGUGAAGAGUGUUUUUCUCUCGUCCGUCCAGUGAAGUAGAAAAGUAAGAGUGGUUCUAACUGCUGACUUGUUUUUGUCCCUUCAAUUUCAGGUCAAGAAAAUUAAACUCUGUGUUUCUUGUUUGUGCGUUGGUCUUAGCUACUUUCUCGCACAUUAGUAUUACAAACCAAUUAAAACUUUUAGAGGUCUCUUUAGGAUUUCUAAAACAAGCAAUCAGUCCAAAAAAAAAUUUUUUUUUUUUUAAAAAGAGAGAGAGAAAGGCCUAUGGUUUAUUUUUUAUUUUUUUUUUGACAUAAGAUCAAGCCCGUCAUUAAUUAAUUCUAAAAGCUUAGAAGGUUGUGAUGCAUCAUUUUUUUUUUUUUUUGCUUGGUAUUACAUGGCUACAAUUAAAACUUGAAAGUUAAUUUUAAAGCACAAAGGAGAAUUCACAUGCUCUAAUCAAUCAUAUUUGAAGUCUUAUAUCUAGACAAAAGCUUGAAAAUGAUAGAAUUCACGAAAUGACAGCACUUAAAAUUUCAAGAAGAUCAAGGUUCUAUCAGAAUACUAUUAGAGAUAUUUAUUAGUGUACACAGGUAAUCGAAAUAGAGGUUUAUUAUUUUUUAACCCCUUUCAGGAAGAGAAAAAGCUGGCCUAAGUCAUUCAAAGGAUCAACGAAAAUUUUGAGAUCAUGAGUUAAGUCUGACAAUUUUUGAAUUUAGACUAAUUUUAUAUUACUUCCUAGUAUUUCUGAAUUAAUUAUUUUUUUAUUAUUAAUCUCAUCACCAUUUUGGGUUGCUUGAGAUCAAAUAUUUGUAGAACAAAUUGGCCAGAAAUUGGCAUAAUUCUUCAUCCUCAAGAUCCCACUUCAUUGAUUGCAAUAGUAUAUGUUUGGCCACAAUCCAACAGAUAAACGGUCCCCUUAGCCUGACUGAUAAUUUCAAUUCACCCCUGUGCUUGCCAGCUACAGAAUACACAAGAUUAUUCAAAAAUUAACAGAUGAUAUGUAACGUGAGCCAGGCUUCCAAUCAGCUGGAAUCGCCUGUUGAGCCACAAGCCUUCGUCUGGAUUCAGCUUGUGUCAACCUGAUGGAAAACGGCCCAUUUGUCCUCUUUGGUAUGUUGUACUUGUAUGUUGCGCCAAACACUUGUUGCAUCGGAAACCACCGCCGGGAUCCCGCCGCUUGGAUCUCCACAGAAGCAACGUCUCCAUCACCAUUUUCGUACUCAAUUGCAGCAGAAAAGUAGUAUCGAUUGGAACCGGGGUCGACUUUGAACGCAAUCUUCUGAUUAGCAUAGUUGCAUGGCACCCUUUACAUUUGCACGAGUCAAUCCCGAAAAUUACUUCAGGAACAAUAAUAUAUUUAUUGUACAGAAAAAAAAAAUUGUCUUCUAUUUUAUCCCUGAAAUUUACUGGCAAAAACUUCAUUGCAAGUCUGCUAUUUGCUCACCUUUGAAAAUGGACGUUGAUUCUACCAAGUUUGCGCAAAGCAUCGGCCUGGCCUGGCUUUGCUAAGUAACCAAAAGCAGUUGAACUGAAAUCAAAAUGAACAGGAUCAUUGUUGCAGGCAUUGGGACACUCAUCUGUGAUUGUUAUCUUGACCGGAGAACCAGAGCAUGCCCUAUAAACGUUUGCACUGCAUAGCACCUGAAAUUGCAUGCACGUGUCAUUUGAAAACCAAGAAACCAUCCCGGGUAUAGUUAGCUAGCUCAAAUAUCAAGCAGGCAUUCUUUAAAAAAAGAAAAAAAUUAUAGGCUGCUCUUGAUUGCUGCAGAUUUUGCAAUAUUGGAUGGGUUUAUAGGAUCUAACCAUUUUGCCAAUCGAAAAAUCUAAAAUUCAGACACAGAAAAAAUACAAGGGCAUGAUACAAGACACUGAUUUCUUGAAAUUAGGAAAAAAAAUUAGGUGAAAUACACGCCGUAUCACGAUUUAAGCUACCAGUGACCAGCAUUAUAUAAGUAACUUAUACAAGCCAACAAAAAUGUGCAGAGCAGUAAGCAUUUACCGCAUAGCAAUUGCCGCAACCUUUGCCCUGUUUAAAUAGGGCUCGGUUUCCAGCAGCUAUCUUGCUUGAGAAAGGCGGCUGAGCAAUGUCAUUUUCAUUUCCAAAUCCGCAUGCUCCGCCUGUGUGAAUCAAAAUGAAAAUAAAUUAUUUGAACAGCAGAUUUGUAGUUAAGUGCGUCUUGUAAAAAAUGCAUAUAUACCACUCCCUUCAUAAAAUGUUGCUACUGCCGAUGAAUAACCAGCUAGAGUUACAUUAAGCGACCUGGCACUUCUGCAAGAACAAAAACUGGACAAAAAUGACAUGAUGACGAAGAAGGCAGACAAAAAACAAUUUUUGAGAGCCAUGCCGAAUAUUCGUCACUGUAAAACCAACAGGAUGCGCAAGUAAUAUAUCUUCUGUUUGGUACUAUAUAUGCUGUGGAGUCAAGUGCUUGUGUAGAAAUUAAUUUAGUCAGUCUUGAAUUUGGAUGAACACACUCAAGGAUAUUAAAACCUUGCCAUACAGGAAUUUUAAAAUCCAUAGGUUAUUAACGCAUGAACAUCUAUGCUGCGAGUCAAGUGCUCAUAUAGAAAUUAAUUUAGUUACUCUCUUGAAUUUGGUUGAACAUAUUCGAGAUAUAAAACCUUGCCAUAUACGGAUUUUAAAAGGCAUAGGCUGCCGUAACUUGUAAUACAUGAAGAUGGGAUAUACAAACAACUUGAAAUCAUGUACCUGGUCUUGGUGACUGAAGCAUUGAAAUUUCAAAUUGAAAGUAUUAAAUCACUUAGCUAAUAGCUAGUAGAAAAGAUAUCCUCCAAUUUAAUGCUUUACAAAUUUGGCUGGUUAGAAAAUAACACUAAAUGGUUUUAACAUCCCAAAUUUACAUCAUUAAAGCUACUUUUAUUGUACUGUAAUUUAAAUGAACACAUAAAAAUAGUUUAUCCUCUAACUUUCAACCAAUAUAUAAAAUCGUAAGUAUGCUGAUUUUAUGGUAAUCCUUCAAUACCAAUACUAAGCCAUUUCUGAAAUCAAAUGAUGACCACAAAUGUGAGAUAAAAGGUGAUUGAGAAAUGUAUUCAUGAAAAUAUAAAAAUUUUUCUGCAAAAAAUCACAAUCCAAACAAGGUCUUAGUAGUUAGAGUUUUAUGUGUCUUUUUUUGGGCAAAUUACAUUUUACCCCUCUGCGAUUCAGCGUUUUUUUACAUAACCCACUUAUGGUUUCAAAAGUUAUACAUAACUAUCUCAUGGUUUGGAUUAAAGUGUCAUAGUGACAGAAAUAGUCAUUCGUAAAGGAACUUCUAAAAAUGUCGAAAUUACCUUAUAAAUACAUGACACACUAAUCCCGUAUGAUUUUUAUAUUUUACCAUGUAACCCUCUUAUGAUUGCAUACCAUUACUAAGCCAUUGCUGAAAUCGCAUAUCUUGUUACCUUUACCUCUAUAUUACAAAAAAUUUUGUUUUAAAUUUGAUUUUAAUAAGCAUAAAAUUAUAUUCCAAUAUCCAUUAACAAUUUCGAUAACAUCUCGAUGAAAUGAGGCUAAUGAUUACCAUAUUUCCUAGUAAGUGUUGGUUUUACGUUAUAAAAUUCAAAGUCGGAUGAAUGAUAUUAUGUUAAACACGUCUUACAACUGUGCAAGAAGAGCCUUGUGAUUAACAAUAAUUUUUUCUAUAUAUCUGCUGCACCCUAUUUUCAAGCUUAGCAACUCAGUCAUGAGAUUGGAAUAUAGAUUACAUUACCAAGCUAAUCUUCAAUUGGUUUUGUGAAACGUUAGCAACUUCCCCGGUAGAUAAUUGUGGCAAAACAAAUUUGACAUGGCGCUGCAAUUGUGAAAUGAGCUUUCUCCUCAUAUAAGCUUAAGACAAGCUUUAUGCAUGAUAUGCCCCGCUAAUCAAGACUAUCAAGGUAGUCUCAUUUAAAUUAAAAUAACAGGAUUAGCAUCCCAGGAUUCGAUGACAUGUAGUAAGCUGAAUUCGAUGCUUUUGGGGAUUUCACCUAAAAAUCAAUCUGUGCAUUUGCCUGCCAACAUCAUAAUAUAACUUAAAUAAUUUUUCUAGAAUAUCAACUUGAAUCUGCCACGUUGCAUACUGAAUAUCUUAGAUUUAUUGGGCAUGAUUUCAAUGAAAAUUUUCACCAGACAGAAAAAAUUAUCGUUUUAUUAAAAUAGUACUAAUCAAUGAACACUUAAUAGUGGCACUUUAUGUUGGUUAAUUUGGAUUUAAGGUUAGUCCUAGUUUUAGUUUGAGUAGAGUACUGUGGAUGAGAUUUAGCGGUAGAGAAAUGCAAAAGGUGGAGGAUCUAAUAUGUUAACAACACUGGAACAGGAAGUUAAUAUUUCGUCACUUCAAUAAAGAAGAUGCAGAGCGAAUACUGAAGAUUCUUCUAAGCUUAUCGGGGAGAGAGGAUAGGCAUUACUGGUUGCAUGCGGCUAAUGGGGAGUAUACUGUCAACUCGGGCUACAAAACACAGAUAGAGAACAAUGCAUUGCAACAGGAGAAGCAGGCACAGGGAGUUGGUACUAGUUGGGAAAGCAAUAGUCGCCAGAUGUGGAGGCACCUAUGGAAGCUGACAAUCAAGCACAAAUUGAAACAUUUACAAUGCUCUUCCAGUCAAAGAAGCGAUCUUCGAGGGAACUAAAAUGGGGGAUCCUUUGUGCAAGGGGUGUGGUACUGUGGUGAGAAGGUGGAAACUGUGGAGCAUAUGCUGUUGGAAUGCACCAAGGCUAAGGAAGUUUUGCACAUAGCCCCAUGUCAGUGGGAUGGGGAGCAGGACCAGCAAGGAUAUUUCCAGAAUUGGUGGAGUACAAUUACAGAAGCAAGGUACAGGCGGUCAGGAAAUGACCACAUUGCACUAAAUGCUAACAUCCCAUGGCAAAUUUGGAAAAACCGAAAUGAAAGACAGUUCAAUGACAAGUGCCAGAUAUCUUUAAAGAUCAUACAAAAGGCACUGGGAGAAUGGAAGGAAUUUGAUGAAGCAUUGAGCAGAAACAAUGGGUUGAGCACAGCAGAAACAGUGGCCUCUAAAACCUUACCUCAGCAAGAACAGAAUGGAGAUGAAAUGGUACAGCUAAGAGUGCAAAUUAAAACACAAGUGGAAAGCCACAAUCUUGGGAUAGGAGUGGUAGCAACUGAUGGCAAGAACAAUGUCUUGGAAGCUUGGGCCCUGAAGGAGAGAAGUACAGGGAUGGCAACAUUAGAUGAAGCAGUAGCGGUCAAGCUCACUCUCAGCAAAGCUGCAAUGAAGCAAUGGAGAAAAACUGAGGCCCAAGUUGAGAGCAAACAGCUCAUACGACAGCUCACAAGUGAACAAGAUGAGGACAUCAGGCUGUCUGCCUUAAUGGAAGAUAUACAGGACUUGAGAAAACUGUUUCAUAUGUGCUCCUUUUGGCCGGUUGGUAUAGAUAUUAAUCAUGUACACAGUCGAAUCAUUAGCUCCUAUGCCUUAGGUAUAAUUCAAGAUAAGGAAUGCAUAAAUCCUCAGUGUCAGGGUACACUCUUUGUAUAGAUCUGUCGAGCUUUGCUUGCAAUUAUAAAGUUUAUACUAUUAAUACAAUCCUGUUAUCGUUUUGAAAAAAAAAGAUACCAAGACCAGGCGCAUGAUAUCAAGUUGUCUGUAUAUCCCAUCUUCAUGUAUUACAACCUAUGUCUUUUAAAAUUAGUCUAUGGCAAAGUUUUAUAUUCUUGAGUUUGUUCACCCGAAUUCCCAUGGUGCAAUAGAAGAGAAGCCGAUGCAACUGUGUAGUUAUGAUUAGAUCGUGCUCUAACAAACUCCGGGUGGCAAAAUCUGUUUCCAGGAAAUGUGGCUAAACAUCUGGCGGCCUCUCACUGAGACCAUGUUCCAACUAAGGUGGAGAUAAGACAGAAACGUAGAAGACUUCUUAGAUUUGAAGCUACAUGGUUACGUGAUGAUGACGAAUCUAGUCAAUUGAUUAGUCAGCACUGGAAAAAUGAUGAAGAUGAUUUGGUUGAGCGUGUGUGCAGAAGUGUAUCUGAUAUGGAGGUUAUUUUAGGCGGUUGGGGUAAAAGGAAAUAAGGGAAUUUUAGAUUUAAUGCAGAUGAUUUUGCAAACUGGUCAAGAAAUGGAGAGAGAGAGAGAGAGAGCUGAUUGUGACCAUCUUGUGGAUGAUAUGGUACGCAAGGAAUAGCAGAAUAUUAUUUGAAGGAUAGGUAAUGAGACCUCAAGUGGUGGUUGAGUGGGCUAAAUCAUAUUUAAUGGAGUUCAUUAAAGCUCAGGAAGAAAGCAAGUUUUCUGGCUCAAAGGAAUUGAUUGGGCAGUGGCAUCCUCCAGAGCAAGGCCUUUUGAAGAUCAACGUUGAUGCAGCACGGACUCCAGAGGAAGUAGGAAUUGGUGUUAUUGUCAGAGAUGAUGAAGGACAAAUCAUGGCAGCAUUUGAGGAAAGAAUCGGUAAAACUUCAUCUGCUGAAUUUUCUGAAAUUCUUGCUGUCAUUAAGGGUUUAGAAUGGGCUAAGGAAGUUGGAAUUGACGUUGACUCCUGAAAUUGACUCUAUCAUUGUCGUUCAAAAAUUGAAUAGUGAUAGAGCGGAGUUCUCUUAUUCGGAGAGCUGGCUGGAUAAGGCUCGAAUGUUAUAUGAUAGCUUUGAAUGCUGUAAGAUUUUCCACGUGUGUAGAACUAGAAAUGUGCCAGUUCAUAGUCUAGCAAACCUUUCUCUUGGAUUAGUAGGUAGAAUUGUACGGUGGAAUGAUUUCCCUCCAUCUUUGGGUAAAGCUGUAAUUGGAGAUUUGAAUGAAUGAAUGAAAUGUUUUUUACAGUCAAAAAAAAAAAAAAUUCAAGAGUGACUAAAUUAAUUCCUAUAUAAGCACUUGAUUCCCCAGCAUAGUACCAAUGAGAAAAUUUAUUAAUACUUGCUUAUUCUGUUCGUUUUACAGUAACAAAUAUUCCGCAUGGCUCUCAAAAAUUGUUUUCUGUCUUACUUCUUCGUUAUCAUGUCAUUUUUGUCCAGUUUUUGUUCUUGCGAAAGUGUUGGGUCGCUUAAUGUAACCCUAGCUGCUUAUUCAUCGGCAGUGGCAACAUUUUAUGAAGGGCGUGGUAUGCACUUUUACAGGACACACAUAACUAUUGAAUGUCAUAAUCUGCUGUUCAAAAUAAUUUUAUUAGAAGAUAAUAUAUCCUCCCUUCUUUGUAAGAAAAUACAAAACGAAGAUAGCCUGUUAAGAUAUUGCAAUCAUUAAUUCUUAGUACUGCUCUUAAUGUGCCACAAAUAUUAUCAAACUAGGCUAUAACAUGCAUUUCUAUGAGAUCCAUUUAUUUUCAUUUUGAUUCACACAGGCGGAGGAUGUGGAUUUGGAAAUCAAAAUGAUAUUGCUCAGCCACCUUUCUCAAGCAAGAUAGCUGCUGGAAACCGAGCCCUAUUUAAACAGGGCAAAGGCUGCGGCAAUUGCUAUGCGGUAGAUGCUUACUCUGCAUGUUUUUGUUGGCUUGCAUAAGUUACUUAUAUAAUGCUCGUCACUGUUUAGCUUAAAUCGUGAUACGGCGUUUAUUUCACCUAAUUUUUUUUCCUAAUUUCAAGAAAUCAGUGUCUUGUAUCAUGCCCUUGUAUUUUUUUUCUGUGUCUGAAUUUUGGAUUUUUCGACUGGCAAAAUGGUUAGAUCCUAUAAACCCAUCCAAUAUUGCAAAAUCUGCAGCAAUCAAGAGUGCAAAAUCUGCAGCAAUCAAGAGCGGCCUAUAAUUUUUUCUUUCUUUAAGAAUACCAACUUGAUAUUUGAGCUAGCUAACUAUACCCGGGAUGGUUUCUUGGUUUUCAAAUGACACGUGCAUGCAAAUUCAGGUGCUAUGCAGUGCAAACGUUUAUGGGGCAUGCUCUGGUUCUCCGGUCACGAUAACAAUCACAGAUGAGUGUCCCAAUGCCUGCAACAAUGAUCCUGUUCAUUUUGAUUUCAGUUCAACUGCUUUUGGCUACUUAGCAAAGGCAGGCCAGGCCGAUGUUUUGCGAAAACUUGGUAGAAUCAAUGUCUAUUAUCAAAGGUAAAUUUCAGGGAUAAGAUAGAAGACAAUUUUUUUUCUGUACUAUAAAUAUAUUAUUGUUACUGAAGUAAGUUUCGGGAUUAACUCGUGCAAAUGUAAAGGGUGCCAUGCAACUAUGGUAAUCAGAAGAUUGCGUUCAAAGUCGACCCCGGUUCCAAUCGAUACUACUUGUCUGCUGCAAUUGAGUACGUAAAUGGUGAUGGAGACGUUGCUUCUGCGGAGAUCCAACCGGCGGGAUCCCGGCAGUGGUUUCCGAUGCAACAAGUGUUUGGUGCAACAUACAAGUACAACAUUCCAACGGGGACAAAUGGGCCGUUUUCCAUCAGGUUGACACAAGCUGAAUCCAGACGAAGCCUUGUGGCUCCAAAUGCGAUUCCUGCGAAUUGGAAGCCUGGCUCACGUUACAUAUCAUCUGUUAAUUUUUGAAUAAUCUUGAGCAUUCUGUAGCUGGCAAGCAAAGGGCUGAAUUGAGAAUAUCAGUCAGUCUAAGGAACUGUUUGUCUGUUGGAUUGUGGCCAAACAUAUAUUAUUGCAAUCAAUGAAGUGCUAUCUUGAACAUUAAGAAUUAUGCCAAUUUGCUCCAGAAACAUUUGAUCUCAAGCAGCCUAAAAUGGUGAUGAGAUUAAUAAUAAAAAAUAAUUAAUUCAGAAAUACUAGGAAGUAAUUUAAAAUUAGUCUAAAUUCAAAAAAUUGUGAGACUUAACUCAAAAUCUUUAAUUUUUGGGACCAAAAUUUUCGUUGAUCCUUUGAAUGAUAUAGGCCAGCUUUUUCUCUUCCUGAAAGGGGUUAAAAAAAUAAUAAACCUCUAUUUCGAUUACUUUUGUACACUAAUAAAUAUCUCUAAUAGUAUUCUGUUAGAACUUUGGUCUUCUUGAGAUUUUAAUUCCUGUCAUCUCGUGAAUUCUAUCAUUUUCGAACUUUUCUCAAGGUAUAAGUCCCUGAGACUUCAAAUAUGAUUACAGCAUGCAAAAUUCUCCCUUGUAAAGUUUUAAUUGUGGCCAUGGAAUACCACGUAAAAGAAUUAAUUUGGUCCAUCGCAACCUUCUAAGUUUUUAGAAUUAAUGACGGGCUUGAUCUUAUGUCAAAAAUAAAAUAAAAUUAAACCAUAGGGCUACUUGUAUUGUACUGUAAUCUAAUUAAACACAUAAAAAUAGUUUAUCUACUAACUUUCAACCAAUAUAUAAAACGGUAGGUAUAUUGAUGUUAUGGUAAUCCUUCAAUACCAAUACUAAGCCGUUGCUGAAAUCACAUGCUGAAAAUGAUACGACUGACUGAGGUUGGACCAAUAAUUAAUUAGUUAGAUGUGAGCAAUUAACAUAAAAAGGAAGCACUAAUUAACCUUUGAUAAAGAAUAUUGAUCCUGCUGGCACUGCGCAGCAAUUGAUCUGCUUGGCAACGCUUUGCCAAAGUCCCUAAAGCAGUUCCACUUGGAUCAAAAUGAACAGGAUCACCAUUCACCGCCGCAGGAACCGCCGCACUGAUCAGUGAUGACUACAGUUAUUGCAGAACCAGAACAGGCCGAAUUGGACGCUGUUGUGCAUAACACCUAAAAUUGGGAUCCAUGCAUGCGUAUCCUCAACUUAUUAGUAGAGGCAAAAUAACUUGAAAUGUCUUAUCACUGGCUAAGAAUAUCUCUUGCCUUGUCUUGUCACAAUUUUGGUUGAGACUGGAGAUAUUUUUUAGGUAUAUUAGAAUUUUCGAUGAGGUAAAGGUCUACAGGAUUCUAUGAUGUAGUAAAGACAAUUAAUAGAUGGAUAAUUAAUUAGUACCAAAUAGCAACUUCCACAGCCUUUGCCCUGCUUAAAUGAAGCUUCAUUUCCAGUGAUAAGAAAGGUGGCUUCUCCACAGCAUCUUCAUAUCCACAAGCUCCUCCUACUCACCGAAUUAACCAUUGAAAUUUUCAAACUUAUUACUGCUUAAAUGAUGGGCGGUUCAUCAAGGUUUAGAACAUUGAAUGUUAAUUACUUUUACCUAAUUCACGCUUUUUAGUCUUUGACAAAAAGAAAUCGCUCCGAAAACCAACAGCUUUGCCCUUUGUGAUUUUUUUUUUUAAUUUUUUACUGUUUCAUUCUUUAAUUAGUUGUAAAUGUUAGAUCUGAGUUGUCAAAAAGAAAAUAAAAAUGUUGCUUGCCUCUACAAAAUGUAAUGGAAAAUUCUUUGUCACACCCUAAACUAAUUUUAUUAUAAUGUUCGCUUGAAAGGAAAAUAUGCAUGAAUGACAAUACAAUGUGAAGAGCUGGAAUAUAACAUUUGUGUCACCAUAUACGAACCAGUGCUGCCUGCUCCAUGGGGAUCCCCAUAAAAUGUUGCAACGGCAGGUGAAAAACUAGCUAAAGAUUGAGAAGCAUUAUGUGACUUGACACUCCUGGAAGAACUAAAUGUAGCAAAAGACAGUGAGAAAAGACCUAUGAAAGUUAGCAAAAGAGAAAUCUCAUGCAACCAAGGCUGGGUGGGGUGGGAGGCACACUUAAAGUGGCUUGGUUUCAAAAAAAUUUCAGGCGAGUGUACUGUAAUACACCCGUCUGGUCUGAUGGUGGUUCAACCAUUUCUGGAUUACCCCUGGACCUCCUUAGCAUACUAAGAGCCAUCUAAACAACAAUUUACUUUGUAAAAAACUGACACGAAGCUAGAGCAACUUUUAUUGCUUCUGUUCUGAUGAUUAAAGGAUAGAAAACCACCAUAUAUACAAGAAUGAUAACAAGAGAUACUUCCGCUAUUGUUAAACUAUGUCUAUUCUAUCAUGGAUUCUACAAAUAGAUUUACAGCAUAAAAAGAAAAGAACGGUGUGUGUAUGUCGAGAAGACUUUAAUCAAGUGGCUAAAAUUAAGAUGUCAAAACUCACAAAUUCUAGGUCCUAAUUUUCAUUCCUUCUCUCCAUUUCUUAAAUCUCACCCCAAGUCUUGAGUUCUAAUUUCCAUUCCCCUUUCUCACUUUUUAAAUUUCACCUCUUUCUUUCUUAAUUUUUUUUAAGGAAAAGUAAGUUUACAGUUGACUAUUAAUGAUAGAGAUUUUCGAAUUCAAAAGGUAGUUUGAGGGGACUAAAUUGAUUCGUGUAAUCUGAGUUUGAAAGAUUUAGGGACUAGAUGAAUCGCAACUUCUGCAAUAAAUUAUCCAGUUCCUAAAUUCCUUAUUUGCACAGCCCCAAAUGGCUCAUUCGAUCAAUGAAGAUUAUGUGCAUAAAAGAGGUAAAACCUUAGGACCGUGAUGCAUCACAAAUAAGAUUCAAUUGAACAUACGAGGGGCAAUGUGAUGCAACCAUCUUUUGAGAGGAGUUUGGUUAUCGAAAAAACAAAAAAAAAAAAAAAAUUUUUUGGGUGGGGGCGGGUGGUUAGAUUUAAGCCUAAGUCUACUGUUUAGGCCCAAGUUUUGAUGGGUUGAGUGGACCGAACAAAUCGAGUUUGGAUUAACUUGGUCCAUCGACGAUUGUACCCUUUGCCCCUCUGUGUAGGCUGUGUACGUUUCGGACACAAUUUUGUACAAGUAAUCGAUUUGGAGAAGUGCAAAAAGCGACCAAAUGAUAUCACUCGUAACAAUUCCAUAAUCUCGCAUAUUCAUAGAUUAUUAGGCGAAAUUUCUUACAAAUCUUUCUGCAGUUUCUGGAGCUUUAUCAUACAGGAGUAAUUUUGUCUAAACAUGUAAAGAAGAGAGGUUAAAUGCUUGUGAAAAAUAAUUAAGGAAAUCAAUGCAACUCGACGGUGGUUGACGUGCACUCUAUAAAUGCAAGCAACAGAAAUUAGUAGUAUUAGAUUUAUUUUUUGGACAGUCCGGAAGGAUUCUAAGAGCCCUCUCCUCAAUCACUGAAUCGACCAUAAUGAUUUAGUAGUACUAGUUUCUAUGCUAUAUUAGCAACAUUUAUCUUUUUGUUUUUUUUUAGGAGGUAGGAAAGCAACAUUUAUCUUUGCUCCAUAAUGAAGUUUUUCCAUUUAUGUCAGCUGAAAAGGAAAAAGGAUGCAAGUGUCAACUAUUACUAAUACAGAUCUAUAGAGUUACUAGUAGAACCUUAUUUCCUUGACGAUGUACUCAUCAUCCAUUUUGCUCUAAUAAAAACUAUGAGCUGGUUCUUAUAUUCCUUAAACCUAGGCAUUGAAAUUUACAACUGAUCUAUAAGUGCUUCCAGGUUGCCAACCAGCAGGGAUGACAUUGUUUGCCACCAGAGCGGCGCCGGAUUCUGCUGUUAGCUUAAUUGAAAAUGGAGCUUGCAAUGUAGAACCCGUGUCCAAUUUCCAAACAGCACCCCAAGAUUGCUGCAUGGGAAGCCAUGAUUCCGAAUCCAGUGCUUGUUUGAGUUGAACCCCCGAAAGUUCACCAUCCCCAUCUUCGAAUUCAACCAAUGCGGCAAAAUAGUCGGGAUUGGAGCCAGCAUCGACGUGAAAGGCCACAGAUACUCCAGGAUAGUUACACGGAACCCUGUUCAGAAUUGAAAAUUGCAUUAAUGAAAAAAUGUCGAGUAUGAUGUUCUGUUGUUAAUACUAUAUAUAACAAACGUCAUGGUGUCAUCUCUCUUGGAAAAUCAGGUUAUGAUGACACUAAUCAGAUUACGACGACCUUCAUUUAGUGAUAAACAUGCUCCCAUAAUUUUUGCCAUACGACUGACUGUCCAUUUAGUUUGAAUUUUUAGCUUUGUACUUCGAAUUGUCAAUCUGAUUGGAGCAUAUUUUUUUGACUUGGUACGUCGUAGGGUAUUUGUAGCAUGACCUUAGUCAAUUUCGAGCAGUAAAAAUUAGUCAAGAAUGACGGAAACUUUCGUCUGGAAAAAGAAGAAUAUCUGAUUUCUAACCUCUUAUACUGUAUUUGUAAGACUCCGGCAUUGCGCAAUUCAUCAGCUUCGCCGGAAGUGGCCAUGGCUCCAAAAGCUGUGCCACUUAAAUCGAAGUGAACUGAAUCUGAGACGCAAGGACCUCCUGGACAUUGAUCGGUUAUAACCACAGUAACAGGAGAUCCUGAGCAUGCUCCAUUAACAUCUGCUGUGCAUUUAACCUGAAGAUUUGUACGUAGUACGAAGCAAAAGAAAACUACGCAUAAGACAGCCAAAAUUAAGUACGCACAAUUGCAUAAAAAGAUGUAACAUUUUAUACGGAUUUAGAAUUUUCUGAACAACUUAAUAUUCUUGUGUGUCUUGUGGCAUGCACCUGAUAACAUGCUCCACAACCUUUGCCCGAGUCAUAGAGGGAAGGACCUCCUGCCGAUAUUAAAGAAGAGAAUGGUGGCUGAUCAACCGCACUGGUGUAUCCACAAGCCCCACCUACAUUGUUGAUUGAAAAAAGGAGUUAUCGGAAUUAAUUCUCUGAUUUUAUGUCGGAAUAUUGUUGGUAAACAGGUUUUCUUCUUUGAGCUCAAGCUAAUUAAUGUACGUAAAUUCAUAAGUGUAAGGCGUAUAAUACUUAAACAAUAAAAACACAGAAUCUUGUAAUCUCGUUGUUUAUUACAACCUCAAUAUGAGAAUUAUACGUUAACAACAGUUCAAGUUGAGAUGAUUUUGCCCGGAUGAGAUACAUGUACCUCAUCGGGCAAUCGGGGACACAGUUAUAUAUCAUUUUUUGUUUUCGUUCUCUUACCAUCACUUCCUGCACCAGUAGGGCUUCCAUACCAGGUUGCACCAGCGGGUGACCAAUCAGAUUGGGAUUGGUAUUGAAUUUUCGAUAUAUUAAGAAGCUUGGGGUUGAAGCAAGAGCAGAAGUUUGUAACCAGGAAAAAGAGAGUUAAGUAGGAGGAAAGGUAGAGGAGAUAAUUAGUUGCCAUGAUGAAGGGAUGAAGGUCGCUAAAAAAUCAGUGCUCUAUAUAUCUAUCUAUGCUUUAGGUUUGAUGGAUUUGGUUUGAUUGGAUUUUGAGAAUUUCGCUGCUAUUUAUAGAGGCCAGGCUCCCAAAGAAGCCAAGCUUCAGUCCCGCAUAUUGUGGUGGAACAUGAGAAUUUUGCCAUGUGCAAUAUGUUCUACAAAGCAUAUACUAUACACUGAUACAGUAUUAGAGAUUUGACUACUGUAGAAUCUGUUAAAGACUAAAAGAUUUGCAGUUAUUGACCAUGAAUAUGGUCUUCGUUCUUCGUGUACUUAUUUAUGGGGCAUCAAAAUUAGCACUAUUAAUUCCUAAUGAGUGGCACUGUUGUGGCAAAUUAAUUUGACUCUUUGUUCUUAGAGCCUUUUCCGCCGUCAGGUUUAAGAGGAUUGGAAUCUUAUAUCUGAUAGUUGGAGGUGAGACUGAGCGUAAAAAAGGGUGAGAGGAUUAAAAAAAUUUGACUCCUUGCCAAAUAAUAAUGUAUCAGAAUUACUUUAAAAUAGUACUGGAUCACAAUCCGAAUCAUGAAUAAAUGCUUGAUUUAAGAAAAAUGUAACUGAUAGAUAAGAUCCUCUGAUGCUAAAGAGAGCACUAAGCAACAGAAAAUCAAGGGCCAAUUCCACGUCAAUACGUCAUCGUAAUAUCAGCAUGAAGAAAAAUUUAUGGAGUCCGAUGUAAGAGGCGCUAACUGAAGGGAGAGGGACAUGCAUGGAGGUUUCUUUCUCUCUUUUUUUUUUUUUUUUGGGUUGAAAAGACUGGAGAAACUAGUCAAAGUUUUAAAGAGAUUUUUGCAUGACUUGAAAGCUUGAGGGAUGGAAUUGGUUUAUACGUGACAAAUGCAAGGGAUCCAGGAGAAUUACAAACAUGGAAAAGAUUACUUUCGCAAAAAAACAUAAUUAUGUAUAUCAACUAAUUACGUUCAUCAAUUAGUUAUGAGCUUAAUGGAUAUCAAUUAAUAAUGGAAAAAUUCCGAAUUCUACGGUUCGAAUUAACUGUGGCAUAGAAUUCAGAAGAUAGAUACGAUAUGAAUAUUGGAUUAAGAACCUUAACGUAUUGCUAAAGGCUUAGCCUUUAUGUAUUCAAACCCGUAAUGCCUCUCUUUGCAAUAGGGAGAAAUUUGACCCAUUUUCUUGGACUUUAGCCAGGAAUGUUAAUUUGCUAUUCCAAAUACGUAAUUUUGAGGAGGAAAAUUUUCCAUUGUUCAAAUAUUUUUCGUUUUCUUUCUUCUCAAUAAUAUUCCCUUAAAAAAUAAUAUGCUCUCUUGCCUUACGAAGUGAAAUUAACAGGCAGACAUACCCUUGAAAGAUUUUUUUUUUUUUUCUCCACAAAUAAAUGAAAAUUGCAAAUUAUUUACAUGCGCUGCGACAAACAAGCCAAAAAGUCUAACCAGUAGAAAAUAUGUCCAAACAAAGACCCCGUUUUCAUGGGCCAUUCUCCCCGUAGAAUAUUUGGCGCACAUAACUGAAAAGGGGGACAUAAAUUGCCCAUAUGUUAGCCGUUAAUGGUGGUUUUGGCCGUUGGCCGUUGAAUCUCACGGUUAUGUUUUGGCCGUAUAUAUGAACUCCCCACAUGGCUGUCGCGCUCUAGCAUGAAAAAUUGAACCGUGAUUGCGUGCCUACUAUUUGCCUAAAGUCUCCCGGACUUCCACUCAAAGCAGAUUUUUCUUUUCUGCUUUUUGAAUUUUGGCGAUUGAGUGCCUGGUUAGAUUUUCUUUCUUCUCUCUUUUGAAGAAUCAUAUUUUUGUUAUAAAAAAAUAAGCUAUUUUUCAAUCAAACAGAAGCUAAUAUUCCUAUUAUUAAUAAACUAACUGAAAAUCGUUCAACACGAUUUAUUUGAUAAAGAAAACUGUAUUAAUGGCAAAAAAACAUGCAUAGAUCAUGCCACUAAUGUAUCGGCAAGUGACAUUGUUAGAGCAAUUAUUUUUCUACUAGAGCGUAUUUUAUUCAAAUGCCAAGAUUACCCUCCUCAAUCAAUCAACUUUUUAUAUGUUUAUUGAUUUUUCUAGGAUCCAUCAUCCAUUAAUUACUCAUCUUUUCUCUCUCUAAUUAAGCAUUUUUCCAUUAGGGCCUCUCACUCUUCUUCUUAUUAUUCUCACUUUUCUCUUUCUUACUCAGUACUCACACACUAAUAGAUCUACUAUUUUAUAAUUAAGUAUUUUUCCAUUAGGCUCUCUCACUCUUCUUCUUAUUAUUCUCACUUUUUUCUUUCUUACUCACACACUAAUAGAACUACUAUUUUAUAAUUAAAAAACAUGUUUUUUUUCUUAAUCUUUUCUUGUAUCUUUUUUGGUUCUAUGCGCUCUUGCUUUUUUUAUUCAAUUCUAAAACUUUGAUUUAUUCAUUUAUUUUCUUUUACAAAUAGAACCUCAUUUAACUCCAACAAAUUUCAGUUUAAAUUAAUUAUUAUUAUGAUGUCAUUGUAACUCAAUACUUUAGCACAAAAAAAAAUUUCUUGCAACAUGCCACUUUCCUUUGACUUUUUGUUCAUUUAUCAUGCCUCUAAGAAACUAAUACUGUUAAAGUUUUACCAUCUUUUUCUCUUUUAUACUUGUCAUGAAAAUCUUGAUUUUUAUCUUGUAUCAAGUAUUCACAUUUAUCAUAUAAGACUUGAUUUCUAUCAAGUAUUCAUAUCUCUAAUAAUUAGAUGAAGAUAAGUUUAAAUUACAUUAUCAAGUUUUCAUAUUCUCUAACAAUUAAAUGCAACUAAGUUUAAAUUACAUUACAUUAUAUAUCCCAUGAAUAUCGAAGGAAAAGUAAGGUUAUUUUUUGGUAUUAUUUUCAUUUUAAACUAUUAUUUAGUUUGACUUAAAUUACAUUGUGUUUGAAAAAAGAACCUUUUGAGUAAAAUUUUUUUAAAAAAAAAAGCUUGUAGAAUUAAUAUACAAGAAAUUAUCAAAGCCAAGACCAAUUUAGUAAAUCAUGAAAAUAAUUGAUGAAUUAGUAUGACAAAGAGAGAUACAGAGAGCACCCUGUCAGUGAGUAGAAAAAAAACUUUAAUUGAAAAGAGAAGAAGACGAGUAAAUAGUAUUUAAUGGAUCUAAAAAAAUGAAAAAGAAUAUAUGGAGUUGACCGAUUGAGAGUAAUCUUGACUUUUGAGGAAAUUUUGAUUUGGCAAGAACAUUAUUGCUCUCAAAAUAUCGCCAGUCCAAAUGCAUCUGAUCCGAUUUGAAAAAUUAAAGCUGUUCUAAUAAGAAAUAACUAAAAAUCAUCCAAAAAAUAGGCUGUAUAAAUUUGGUGCAUUAUUAAUUAUACAUUCUUAUAAAUACCUUGAUAACUAACGUCAUUAGCAUGUCUUGCUAAAUCAUGCGCUAUGGUAUUGCCUUUUCUAAACAUUCAGUUCAAAUCUUCGCCUUGAUAUAUAUUGGAGAGUUGUGAGGAAUCAAUUGGACCACUCAAAUUUGGUUUAAAGAAUCGUACACAUCCAUUAAUCAUGGAAUUACAAUGAGAUUGAAUGAUUGAUUUGUAUGUCGAUUCUAGUAUUCUUAAUAAUUAAAAAGUUGGACUUAGUUCAAUCAUUAAAAAUCAUUGUGCCUAAUUUUAGAAAUAAUUGUUGGUUCUCACUACGUCUAUUUCCUUAAUUAACCUUCCUGCUUCUUCUUUUCCGGAAUGGGCCAAACCUCCCAUGCUAACAAAUCUAAUCAACAAUGAAGAAAGAAAUAAAUUGAUAAUGAACGAGAUUAAAUCAAAAUUAAUUGUAAAUUAAGAUCCAUGUACAUAAACUGCUCUAGACUACUAUAGAUCGGAAGGAUAGAUAAUCAUGCUGGGUAAGACUUUACAGUAAAAAACACAUUAUGAACAUGCUUGAAGACUAAAAACUUUCGGACUUUCCAAGCAAAAAGGAAUACUAGACUAUCUCGAUCUAUUUUCCAUACUUGAACUUCCUUACAAGUAGAAUUCCUCCUAUCCAUCAUUGCAGAGUGACUAAUUUUCUUGUUAUGCAAGUACACGGCAACAAUUGUUUGUUGCGGGCUCAUUACUGUCUGAAGUAAUUCUAACGUGUAAGCGAAAGCAAGUUUAAAAUGAUUAAGUUUCAACAUACUUUAAUUUUUUGGUGAAUAGCGUAUGGAUUAGCUUAGUUUGAGCCUAGCAAUUUUGCUGUAAAACACCAUAUCAUGAUCUGCUUUUCUCGUUUUAAACAUAUCAUCUUUAUUAUGGAACUUGAGUCAAGUUAAAUGAACAUUUACGUGGGCUUGAAAGAUGGCAUGUUCUCAAUUAAGCCAAACGACAUGCUUCAUGUCAUGCUCCACAUCCAUACUGCUGGGGAAGAAGGUGACCAAAUAAAAAAGAUGGAGUUAAAUUAAAUGAACCCGUGGAGGAUACGUUAACUUUUUGUUCCAUCAAAUUUUAAGACAUUUUUUUCAUUUGACAACGUCAAAGUGACUGAAGAUGUAGCAUGUGGUUUUACUCAUUUCAGCCUAGGCACAGAAUAACUGUUUACAAGUGGCAUAUAUAUUAGGGAUGCCUGACUUGUAUUCCUCUUCAUUCAUCAGACGGUUGUAUUAGCUAAGUUCAAUUCAUUCAACUACGAAUUAACGUCCUCAGCCAAGGGUGAAUAGUUUCGUUGCUUUACUCCAUUAAAUUUUUUGACUUAUCGUUCAUGAUUUGCCUGAGAUGGUAGAAUUACGCAUUUCCUUUUGGACUAGGAUUUAUGUCCAUUUUUGUCCAUUUUCUUAGUUACAAAACUACUAAGUUGUCGGCGGAAAAAGAAGGUAGAUAUGAAAUAGCAUACUGCUACGCCAUUUUUUGGAUUAAGAAAGAAAAUAAGUAUGCGGAGUUUUUCUUUUUUCUUUUUUAAUUCAUAAAGAAAAGCAUAUCUUUUUUUAUUCUUUUUAUCAUGUGUUGUCAGACAUGCCCGCGGAGGGGAGGGGGAGGGAAAGGAGAGGACGGUUGGAUUGAAUGUAAGACUAUCAGUGGGGUUGGACCAACUCGAAAUCGACCCGUUCUAUCCGAAAAAAGUUCACUGAGUCUAAAUUUUAAUUGAGGUGGACAGCGAUUGGGGCUAAAUAUUAUAUCCGAACUAAAUUAAUAUGAGUCAAGUUUGGGCCAUACGAGACUCAAACACGAUUAAAGGUCAUAUGUGUAUAAUUAUAUAUGUAAUAUAUACAAUAAUAAUAUCCAUAAUUUAUAAUUAUCUAUACUACAUAUAAAGGGAGAGGAGGAGAUUUGGAGUAAAUAAAAAUUUGUCACUUAAUAUACUUCCUAAACUGCCAUUGAUGAUAAGGAAACUUUUGGUAGAAACAAAAAUAUAUCUUUCUUUGACAACUGCCAACUACCAAUAUGAUUUUUUACCAAGUAAUAUGUAUUAUUUCAUAUUCUAUUUUUCAACUUAUUUUAUAAAUCUUAAUUUUAAUUAGCAACUACCAAUUAUGGUUAUGACGAACUACCAAAUAAUUAAUUUUAUAACUUUUAUUUUGUUGAAUGUUUUACAUAUGUAUUUUCAAAAUAUAAAACCAAUUUUCUUGAAAAUGAUUUCAAUAAAUAUACUCAAAAUAUUUCACAAAUAUUUUUUUCUAUUAGUUGCAUACACAUUAGUGUGUGCCUUGAAUACUAGUAAAUAUUACGACAUACAAUGUUAAUAAUUUAUAUGUAAAUUUGUAUUAAUUCAUAAUUAUAAAAUAUAUAUUAUCUAUGAUUAUGUAUUUAAUUGUAAAUUUGGGCCAAGGCCCAAUUUGAAGUCGAAACUCAUAUAAUAGUAUGGGUUGAGUUUGACCCUUUUUAAUAUGAACUUGAAGGCCGAAAGCUAGAAACCCCACAAUCCAUGUAACUUGUGGGUCGAGUUUGAACUUGCUAAAAUUUGGCUCAAAAAAUCCGAUUGACACCCCUAAUUGAAUGAUAGGUUCUACUUUUAAAACCUCCCCACUUACCCUAAAAAUAUAUAUAUAUUCCGACAAAAGCCUGCAAGGUCCUUUUGGGUCAAGAAAAAUGGGGUGUUUCCUGGGCUGUCUUUUGUUUCUUUUGGAGGAUUUUAUAUGGGAAAAGCCCUCUUCACUUAUUUGUGCUCAAAACGGGAUCGAAGUACUUCUUGUGUAUGAACCCACGAGGUAUGGUCUGUGAACACAAGCGUGUGGGCCGGCCUAUUCGAAGUCCAAAGAAUAUAUGCUGAUCUUGGGAAUUCACGAGGAAUAUCGGUUCUACUAUUCUUCCAAGUCCUUGGCCUUGGGAUGUCUUUUGAUGGUCUUUCUAAUUUGGUCUUCACCAGGAUACAUUUCAUCCCCGCAGUGAAAUUGCCGGAGCUAUAUACCUUUUAAGUAAAAGUUUCUUGAGUAAAAACCUGCUGAACAUAAAUGUUGAUGUAGCAGAAUAUAAGCUAUCAGGGGAAGGAGGCAAAAGAACUUGAAUAGACUCAUCUUCAUUAGUUUUUUCAGCACCUGGAACUCUCUUCCAUAACAAAAGGCAAAAAUGAAAACAGACAGAACUGAUAUUUUAACAAUCCAAACUUGUUCAGUUCAAUCAUCGUGCGGUAUGAACACAAUUGAAUCGAACACUGGAAACCAUAUCUUGCAUUGCUUGUCGUUUUUCAACCCUAGGGCACUCAACCAGUAACAACCAUCAUGCCAUCUAAGCUUUAACUUGACAAAAAAAUAAUACUACUUCUGAUGAUCUUCGCAUUAACAAUAAUACUACAGUUAGGUGCAUGUCGCUUAAGUGACGUACCAAAACAUGAUUAAAGUUAAAAGUAGAUCCUACACACAAGAUAUAUUUAUAUGAUUCUAAAGCAUGAGGAACAUAAUGCCGGGAUGAGGAUUAGUCUGGACUCCAAAGCCAGUCGAAUGAUUAAUUUGUUCAAGUCUUCUUUUCGAAAAGGACAAAGUUUGACGAAUUUGUAUAUGAUUGAUUGAAACAAAUGGCUUGGAGAUGGUCAUUAUUCGUUCGAUGAAGUUAAUUAAAGAAUUCACUGCUUGUCGUUUUAUGAUACUUCUAGACUAGAGACGUAUGAACAACGCAGACAACCAAGGAUUAAUUAAAUAUAUGCCUUGGUGAAGACUUGUUCCAUUAAUUAAGGCAACCUAACAAGUUCUCCACGGUCGGAGCUGGAAGUGGAGAGGGUGAUUAGGGUGUUUUGGGGGGGGGGGGGAGGAGGGAAAGGAGGGCACGGAAUGUAUUACAUUUGCUGGCUAUUAGACUUCUUGUAAUUAGGUGGUUAACUAAGCUGAGGUGUGCAAGAAAAAACGUAAAAGCCUAAAACAUCAUCAAGGGGUUGACAAGGUGAUCAGGGGUCAAAUAUCAACAAAAUAACAGUGCAUAACUAGAGCUUGAUCUUACUAUAUAUUAUAGUUAGAUGACUAACAUUCAAAAUUUUCCUUCCCAGAAUUCAAGUGCUUGAUGUUCAUGAACUACCAACAAUCAAAGUUUGGUGAAAAAACUGGAAGAAUUUAUAGUUGUUGACGAAGUUAUGUAAUCUCUGACUAUCAAAUGUUACACCAAGAAAAGGGCUUGUGAAGCCACUGAGGACCUUGAUACUUGGAGCCUUGCUGAUUUUGAAGGCUAGUUGACGAUGUAUGAGAUGUGCCUAAAUCAGAGGUCUAGACACACAUAUAGUGGAGUCAGCGUUACAGGUGAAGAUAAACCAACCCAAAGAAAAAAGGGGAGGCAUCAAAUAUUGCAGAUACAAAACAACGGACCCAGGAUUUUUGAGGCCGUGGUAGAGGUAGUUAUUUUUUACCAGUGAAGAAAUAAAAAUUUUAAUAGAAAACAACAAAAUAUAGAGCAGAGUAAUCAACAAAAUAAUUUUAAAAGGCGAGAGAGAUCUAAAAUUUAGAGCCAUAAUUAUGGCAUAAGGUAGGUCACCAUCAAUGUGAAUGUUAGUCUAAUAGAUUUAACAAUAGAUAUGUGCAUGUUAAGGUGGUUGAAAAUAAUAGCAAUAAGCAGGAGCCUUUCUUGUGUUCUAGUUCUACAACUUAAAAACAUUGAUUGAUUUAUUAACUCUAGUUGUAGCAAUCAAAUGUGUGGGAAAAAGUAGCUCUGAUUUGGAUGAAUCUUUUCGUGUUUUUGUGAAAUUUCAGAAUAAUGAAAGGAUAUCUAUUCCCGAAAAGAAAAGAUUCAAAUUAUUCAGCAAAAUGGAUUUUCUACUUUUAUAUUAUUUGAUUCCAAAGGUGUAUCGUAAUUGUUGAGCUUGGGAGGGUUGUCUACAAAAAAGGUAUGAUAUGCACUUUUAAAUAUGGUAAUGGUCCUAUCAAUGAUCAUAAGUUGUGAUUAAUAGUUGUAGAAAGAAUGAACCGCAGUCCGAUGUAAAUGAGAAUGCAAAAACAUCCAGUUAAUUUUCCGUCUUUCUUUAUGUUACAACUUUUUGUCAAUUUCAUCUUUCUUGUUUUGACCAUAAUUGAAUAUUCCCCUUACAACAAAAAUUGGGCACAGAUAGAAUGAGUAAAUCUUAUAUACACUGACCGACAGUGUAUACACUAUCAUCGUUUGAUUCAUAACAUGUGUGUAAAAGUUGAAUUUUAAAUUCAAAUUUUACAUAAUUGUCAUUUAUCCAACACUGACAGUGUAUACACUGUCAAUGUAGGAAAGAUAAAUCCAGAUAGUUAUAUACUUUCUUUUUUUUAUGAAUUCAAUAAUGAUUGGGACACUUAAAUCCCAGUGAUUGAGCUAUUUCAAUGCGUGUGCUUGUAAAUGCAUUUGACAGCUCAUAAACCGGUUCUCUUCUUUUGAAUGGUAAGCUACACAUCAAAGAGUCAAAAUUGCUUAAUUAUGUUCAAUAUAAAUGACAAUAACAGGUGGAGGAAUUCAAAUUGAUUCAAUAAUUUGGCUUUAUUGUCUAUCAAUUCGUUUGGAGAGACAUCCAAGCUAACAAAUCAAAUUUGCCACUUUAACAACCGUCCAACUUUUUUCUCCUAUAAUGAUUGUAAUGUAAUAACUACACAUAAAGCGAAAGCAAAGCGGUUAUGAUUACUAUGAUUGGAGCGUAUGCUCAUUGUAUCAAUUAAAAUUCAAAAAAAUUAAGUAUCACUUUGUUAUGGCUUAUUAACCGAUCUUCAAUAUGUUGAGGUCGUUUUAGUUGACCUCAAAAUCAUUCUACAAUCUGAUUCUCAACUUAUUAGUGAAUAGAAUAUGCAGCCCUCCACCGUCAAGUGAGAAGAAAAAUAGCCUGCUCAAGGAUUGCCAGAUCUUGUUGCAAAUAAUCCCGACUUGUCACUUAGGUGAUCGAGCCAAGAAAUUUUGUAGUAAUUUUGUAAUAUCUAUUCUCUCAAACCAUGCUUUGUUAAUUCACCAGAAUGAAAGAAAACCUAUAAAAGUAGCUUCUGAUUUUUGAAGACAAAGUUAAUUAGUUCUAUAAUAACUAGGCAAAUUAUUAUCCUCCAGAAGUUUUAUUCCUUGGUAAGAUGUCAAUUGAUACACAGUACAGCCGCAAGAUCAAGAAGAUCAAGCCUAUUAUUUCGCCUUGAUCAGACAUGUCAAAAAAAAAAGACAAAACAAAUAAUUGACUGUACUUAACCUGGUUUCUUAACCUGGAUUUAAGAUCCAUAGGAGUCUCGUUUUGUCACCAAUUGACUGAACGUGAAUUUUUUGUGAGUCUCCUUUAGAUUACUCUUGUGGGUCGUUUAACUGAUGACUUCCUGAAUGUUUCUAAUUUAAUUGUGUGUGUUUCUUUCUACUGGAAGAAAAAUAAUUGACGGUACUGAAGAAGCUGAUUUUUUUUUGUUGUUUUAAAAGUUAAAACCAGUGUAAAAUCUUGCUCGCUUACUCGAUCAAUUAGCCAGGCCUCCAAAUAGGCAUGCAACUCUGUAUUGGCCCCCUCUCCUUCUUGCAUUCAAUUAAUUUCUCAUUUGUCGAGGAGGACUGUCUGUCCCCACGCUGGUCUAAUGAGCAAUGCCCCGGUAAAAGGUGAAAAACGUCAAAACCAGUUAGCUUUCUAGAUGGAGCUAAAUAGGCUAAUCCUCGUGGGCAUCUAAUGACAGAGAAAUUAUUAAAUUGGCGGAUCUUUUCUGUAAGUAAUUUUUUUUUCAAAUAUAAAUCUCUCACUUACAUCUUCUUUUCCGUACCAUCUAACUCGUCCUCCCCAAAUUGAGAAUUGGCUGAUCUUACCUAUUCAAAAUUAUUCAGAAUUUUUCACGAAAAAAGGUUAGAUUAUCCUAAGAGGUAGAUUUUGCGUUCAAGUCCUCUCCCCCACACUGAAAAGAAAAAUUUUCCAAUUGGACCGACGUACGGCUCUUCUGACUGCACUCCUUGGCCUGAGUUGUUGGCUGGCAGCUAAUCAUUCUGCAUCUUUAAUUUCAACAUCUGUCGCAUCCUAACCAAACAUUAACGAGAGGUCAAACCGAUGACGUUUCCCAAAACUAGUAACAUGUGAAGGUAAAAAGAUAGAAAUAGCCCACAAGCUUUAAUUGCUAAUUGUACCGCACCAAGCUACAUAAAUGCUGAGCACAACAGUUUUAAGCAUUAAAAGGAAAAUUCAUCUAUACAAUUUUGUACCCCAAAAAAAAAAAAAUAAUUUUUAGAGCAACAGGCGGUAAUAAAUUAAAAUUUCAGCAUGAAUUACUCUCAAUUGGUGAUCUUCUAUAACAAAACUCUAGCAAUUUGACUGUAGCCUCUUUGUUCUCUUUGCCUUGACUUGAUUUCUUCGGCACAUCGGAUUGUCCUCUCAAUUUGAUACCCUCCUCCGAUGCUCACUUCUCUUUCCAAAUGGCAGCAGUAACUCUCGAAAACACUUACAUUUACGUGCAACUUGAACCCCAUCAAGAACAAGAAUUCCAGCUCCAAUUUGUUAAUUUCCUUUGUUGUCAAUCCCCCAACUCGUGCAAAAUAAGAAUUCCUAUAAUUCCUGUGAACCAAAUAAACAACGAAAGAAAACUUUCAUUAGACAAAAUAUUCACGGCUUCAUACUACUAGAAUUUUAGGGAAAAAAAAAAGCCUUUAUGAAACAAACGUUAGGGAGUUUGUUAAGCUGCAAAAAUAGGAAUUAUUAUCUUAAACUACUGCAGUUUCAAAGAAAAAUUGAUUACUAAAACUGAAAUUCCAGAAAGAAAGAACUUACAUGUCUUCCACAUAUUUGGAUGCGACCAAAAUAGUUGUGAUAAGAAGCCUAUGUACAUUCCGGGGACUGAUUCGGAAUUCGGAAUAUAACUGGCAAAAUCGAUCGAUAUACACAUAUGCAACAACAUAGACCGAAGGUCCAGCUCUGGUGUACCGGAAAAUUCUCUCCAGGUAGGACUGAAUAGUCAUAUCCGGCGACUCGUGGCAGUCGAAAACCCUGGUUCUAACAUCUUUUGACAACGUUGUCGAGGUCCACGUACAUUUCUUGGCAAUUCUCUCAUUUCUUGCCAAGGUUCUUUCAAUCAGAGAAGAAAGAACGGAAAUGACUAAUGGGAUGUUGGAAUCUUCUUGAUACGAAUGUGAGUAGAGAUCAUUUCUGAGCUUUCUUGGUGAUAUGGAUAUUGAUGAAGACAGGGCCAUUUCAAUUAGCCGAUAAUUGAAGGGAAAGAGAAAGUGAGGGAAAUUUACUCUUUUACCAGCUUUAUGUUGAAGAAGGAUGGAUGGUGGGAAGGAUUAUAUAAGACCGAGUAAGUAGAGUUGGAACGAGUGCAAAAGAGGAUGGGGAAAUGGAAAGUGGGAACUGGGAGCGGGAGGAGAGGCUUAGCUGUGUUUUUUGCGUAUAAAUAAAACUAAAGAAAGUAAACAUGGCCAAUUGGAAGGUGGGUAGGAAAGUAGACUGAUAUCCAAUUACAAGAUUUUUGCCUCCGUUCGAAUGGAGGCAAUGUCCCAACAUGCCAGCCAUUUUUCAGCUUUAAAUAAAUGCAGCAUCAGUUAUAAUAUGUGAUGCAGUACGCACUCAUCAAAUAUUCUACUCUCGUAAUUUUUAAAGAAAAUUAAAAAAAAAAAAAGAAUGACAAUAUCAGGGCUUGUUGGUGUUUACUGUUUAGGGUUCAGGGUGGUGUUUGGAAGCAUCCUGAUGAAUAUUAAAGUCCCCUCCACAUUAUACUAAGAAAAUACCCAUCUUUUAGUCCUCCUUUUAAGUUUAAAGUACGCCCAAUCAAGAGUAUAGGUAAUGACGCUAUAAGAAACUUGUAAUUAUGCUUGUUUGGAUUGCCAAUUCUCCCAAAAGAAUUUUUACGUUUUUUAUGAACAUAUUUUUUAAUCAUUUUUUUAUUUUAAGUAUACUAAAUCAUUACAGUAUAUUCAUCUACAAAAAAAUUUCAAAAAAAAAAAUAGCAAUCCAAACAAACUGCGAAUUUUUUAGUUCGAUGCACAACAAUAGCAGGCAUAAUUGAUUUAACCUUUUUCUUGAUCGUGAACAUUGCUGUUAGAACACAAAUAAUCACUUCUUCAUUUUUUUUUUUGUGUGUGUGUAAGCUCUGUAACUUUUCAUCGAUCAGCAAGAUACGAGUACACAAUUAAAAGGGCAUAUAUGCCUUAAUUCAAUUACAUCACAAGAAAACAGAUAAAUGCAGUAAGCAAAACUCUAGAACCAAACAAAGCCAAACAGAAAAACCAGCUUUCAAAAACUGAUAGUGGACCUUAUUCAAGGCACAACUGCACAUCCACCAGUUACAAUCUACUUUCUCACCCUAAACAAUAAUGUAUGUUUUGCUAUUGUGGAUUGGAUAAAAGCUAGAAACUAAAGCAGCAAGCUAAGGUAAUUAAUGUCGAAUUAGAUCCGCAUGAGGCGGCCUUUGCUAAAUUGGAAGUGACAUUGCAAAUUGGGAUUGCCAUCAUUAAAUGAUUGAGUCUAUAAAAAAAAAAAAAAAAAAAAAGUAAAAGUAGGAACUAGUAAAAUCUUAGAGGUCUUUUUAGGGUUUUGAUACAUUUUUCACGCUAGUAAAACUUGUACAAUUGUUAAAACAAUUGAAGCACUCCGUUUUCAGAUGUGUCGCCGACAGUGAGUGGGAUGAAGACGAAAAUAGGGGUAGGUCUCAGAUUGGGUCCACGAGGGAUGACGGCAUUCAAGAUGAAGACUUUGUCUAGAGAUUUGUGUCAAAAUUCAAUCCUACUAUUUAGACAGCGACUCGUGACUGGUACAAGUUACACGUGCAGUGAAUCCCAUAAUUCCCAUUCAAAUCAAUUUCUUUAUACUAACAAAAAAAAAAUGCAAUUCCUAGUGACAAAAGAUGGAAUUCUGUUGAAUGAAACACAAACAUUGUGGACAGUCUUGAGACUUGACAGUUCAAGAUGGAUAUAAUCAACAGUAAAUUAGAUAAUGUGCUGGUUCACUUGUCUUCGCUUUCCGUAAUUCAAGAAUAUUAUGAGGUGACAAAACAAAUAAAAGCAUUUUGCGAGUGGCAAAAAUUAAAGUGCUUGUUUAAUUUUGAAUUAUUUCAAAAGCAAUCAAAACAUAAGCUUCAUCAAUCGCUGCGGUUGGUCCAGUGACUAAGAAAUAGAGGUUUUUUAUCAUUCGUUUCACUGUCAAGUUUACAAUUCAAAUCCUGAAUCUCAUAGUUGAAAGUAGAAAGAGUGAGAAAAAAAUUGGAAGGUCAAAAAAAAUUUAAAAAGCAUAACAAUUUACUAGCGAUCCUUUAAAAAAGUGAUCAUUUUUAGAUUAUGCAAAUCACACAUGCCGAAGACGAAUGGUGUUAACAUCACAAACACGACAAUGGACUUCCAAAUUGUAUGUCCCUCAAAUUUAUGGCUCGUUUUUAAGGGAAUGUAAUUUGGGACUAAUUUGAACCUAAUCUAGUGUCUUUCCAUGCGCUUUGAGCAUCAUCUAUACAUUUCUCUUUAACUUCGUAUGCAAAAUUCUGCUGCAUAAAUUGGUGGUUCGCGAUCUAGAUAACCCAGAAAUUAAAUUAAAUUAAAUUAGUUCUGUAAGCAGAGACCAAAAAAAAAAAAAUUAAACUGACCGCAAGAUUCAUUUCAUUCCAACUUACAAUGUACAAGUACUUCAAUUCAAGGAUUUGCAUCUGGUGGGAAUAGAAAAUUACAUCUCUUUGUUAAUAAGGAAAAUUUUUGCAACCUUUGACUUCAUCGCCACAUAAGCUUUAUUUUAUUUUCAGCGCUAAAUUGGUUCGAAUUACCCAAAAGAGAAUGAAUAAAAAAAUCAUAUUAAAGAUAUUCCUGUGGGUUCCAUGAAUUAUUCUGGAAAUAAUAAGAGAUCCCUGGUGUUAUAAUUGAUGUACGAUUUUGUACAAUAUCAUGAGUACCAAAACGUAGAUGGGGAAAAGAGCUUUGGACCUACUCACGUCUUUCCCAUAAGUUCCUCUGUAUGGCCGCGAUCAUCAUAAUGACAUAAAACAAUUUCCAGCUAUAUUAUCAAUUAUUUGCUAACAAAAAUCUUCCCCUUUCCACCCAUCAGUCAACAGAAAUUUCGUUUGUUCCAAGUUUUUGUACAUGGAAUAAGUAACAGUUAUCAUGCUGUUGAUUUUGUCCAUGAAUCAUUGCACUGGGAACCUGAGCUUAUGUCGGGCAUCCAUAACACACUGUCCUUGCUUUCUCCUUUCCUGCACUAUUUCUUGGCAUAGUCGCUAGCUUCGUUUUAGGUUUGAUAAUAUAUAUAAUACAUUAUAUGGCAGUUAAGACUUUUGAACGAGAAACCAAAAACUUAUAAAUUCUAAUUUUUUUUCAAUAAGCAAUUGAGUUCUGUCAAGCAAACAUGUGCUCGUUUUUGUGAUAAUGUGACAAGUUAGAACAGUCACCAAUGUAGUAUACAUGCCAAGGUCAAGCUUAUAAUAAGCAGUUGAAAUAAAAAUAAAAAUAAAUGAUACAGUGAUGAUUUUAAUGUGGAUAUGAGGACUACGACCAAACGAAGCUGUACAAUUAGCUAUAGGAUAAUUUUUUCAUACACUGUUAGUGUAUAAUUUUAUUUUACAUUAGUAGGUUUAGAUCAUACUAUAUAACAUGACAUCAAUUUUAUAUCCUUAUACUAUAUAAGAACGAGUUUAGGGCUAGAUUUCAACCGCAGGGAUGAAGCUAUUUUGAGAAUGUGAGAGUGUUUGAAGAGUAAUUGGAACAUUGAGUACAAGUCAUUAUAGCUUUAAUUUCACUAUAAUUACUUAUAUAACCUUUCAGACAUUUAAGGAUAGGGGCAGGUUUGGUAUGUUACAAUGUUUGGUGCCAAAUUGAGUAUCAAGUACAACUGAAUAAAGCUUGUGUUUUGAUAAAAUCACAUAAAAGUCCUUUUAAUCAUUUAUUAUACUAACAUCAAAGCCUUCCAAUUUCCUGAAACCUUUCUCAUCCGUUAAGAAAUUAAUUGGAUUUUAAUUAUAAUUAAUUAACUUAAUUAUUAUCUAAACAAUCAUUAUCAUAUUUAUGUCUCCAUGUUUAGCCGAUACCCUUUCUUCUUUUUCGGUUUCACCUCUUUGGUUUUAUUAUGGCUAUUAAAUAUUUGGUGGAAUGCAUAGCUUUUCCUUUAAAUUGAGGUGAGUUCUUUGGAUUUGUCUUCUUCGACUGUAGUUUUUUUUUUCUGAUAAUUGGUUUAUUCAAGAACUCCAUAUAGUUUGCCUUUUGAUACUUUUAAUUCCAAAAACUGACUAAUUGUAUUGUUUUCCUUAGUAGAUCUCAGAGAUUCUGUCUCUGGUCAAAGUACAAUUUGAGAUAAUGUUAUCACUUUCUAAAAUAAUCAGAAAAGCAAUUUUAUCAUCUUCUCCUCCUCGGCCAAGGUAUUAUCUCUUUAUUUAAAUCAAAUAACCUUAUUUCUCAUGAACUUUCUCCUAUUGUUCUUGACUCCAGGGAUCUGUUGACUACAUUCCAGCAGUUAUGGUUCAAGUAGUUAUUUUUUCAUGUAAUAUGAUUUGGAAUUCAGCUUGUGUUUAUUUUAAUUGAAAAUUUUAUGAUUGUAAAAUUUAUUAACUUAGAAUUUUGUACUUCAUUGAAACUAAAAAAGAAAAUUAAUCAUGCUACAUUGUACUAAGAUGUCAUUUGCACUCUAUUUGCUUUCCAUGUUAUGAUCUCGUUCUUGUAUUAUACUGUUUAUAUAGUUUCAAAUACAAAAAAUUUACUUUUUUAUGCUAUUUAAAAGAAUUUGUAGUGAAUCUUGAUGAGUUUAAAUGCUUUAGCUACAGCACCAUUUUGAUUGCAUUGUAUUAAUUCAUUUACUCAUAAUUGUAUGUUGUACAAUGAUAAAUAAUGUUUCUUGAUUUGAUUGAAGCAACUAUUAUCCAUAGUUCAAACAAGUCAAUUAAGUAGAGAUGUUAUAUUGAAUACUUAUACAAGUAAACAUUGGAAAAUAUCAUUAAGCAGUUUCUACCUAUAGUUUGCAAUUCGAAUUCAUAUGAGGAAUUUCUUCUGAUUUUAGUUACCAUUUUCUACAAUUUCAAAUUUAGAAAAUAUUAUUUGCACCAAUUUUUUAUAAUCAAGAUAGUUUCAAUUCAAAUCUUAACAAUUAUGCAGAUUUGAACUUAUUUAUGAGAUUAUAAAGAAAUGCCCCUAGCAAAAAACACCAAAUUUGAAUAGUUUCUACAAAAUUUUGAAAAAGACCACUUAAGUUUCUUAUUUAUCUAUCAUUUUUGGGCAUUAUUACAUAUCUUUGUAAGAAACAUGUGAUUAAGUCGUAUUAUGCCCACCAAAUUAUAUAAAUAGUUAGUCAAAAAUAAAAUUAUUUUAGAUUAGAUUGGAUGCAAAAUGAUUGAUGGAUAAACUUGACUUGAUAAUUCAGGUUGAGCUUAAGUUGAGGGAGAAAUCAGAAGCAUUGCUUGAGAGAUCUUUCACGAACAUAUAUAGAUUCGAGAGAUGAAGGGUCCAAUUGAUACUUUAAAAUGUUUUAUCAUCUUGGAUAAGUUUUAGAAGAGACCUUUGGAUACUUUUCAAUUGCACUUCAAACAUUUUUACAUUUUCAAACUAUCCUUAUCUUUGUAGUUGAAAUUCAAACAUAAUAUUUGAUCACAACGGAUUCUUAUAUAGUAUAACGAUAAGGAUGUCUCAUUGCACAUUAUUUUUAUUGACUCACUAUGUAACUUAUGAUUUUUCUAUUAAAAUCACAUGAUAAAAUCAUCAUACUUCAGUUCUUAUACUACAAAAUAUUAAACAAUAAUUAUUAAUUAUCUUGAAUCACUAGCACCAAAUUCCCGCGCGUCGCACGGGCUGUCCCUCCCUAGUAUGUGGCAUACAUUCAAAACUGUUAGUGUUAAAACAAUCUCUGUGCAUAAUAAAUUAAUCCUCAUCUAUAUUUGACACUCUAAUUAUGGCAAAACUCUACCAUCUCUUUUGGGUGUCAUACCCAUGAUUGUAAUCCAAUAAACUCUUGUCACAUCAUUCAAUAAUUUAAACUCUUAAAACCAUUUAAGGGUUGAUAUCUCUUUUUGUUACAUCUAAUAGUAAAUUAAUAUGUAAUGGCAUGGCACUCAAAAGGUACCGUAGAACUCCCUCUAAUUAUGAUAGUGCAACUUUUUUUUUUUGUAACAUACAAGGGAAAAAAAUAAAAAUUUACAACUUUUCUGGUGGUAAGCUUUUACCUUUUAGAUAAGAAACUCUAGAGGAGAUGAGACAACAUUAAUCUUUUUUGUUUUUUUAAAAGAGACUCCAAACCUUAUAAAAGAGAAAACUUAAGAGUUAAAUCAAAGAUGUCACGAUCACCCGACUAAUAUCCUUAUUGGUUAAGAGUGCGUUUGAUAAAAUAAAAUUUUGAAAAUUGAAAUCUGAAAUCUGAAUUUAUUAAAUUAUUAAGUACUAAACCUAAUACAUUUGAGUAUAUAUCACACUAAGUGAUAAACUUAUUUUUGGGAGUAAGUUUUACUUAGAAAAUUCAACAUCAAUUAAUUUAAAUGUUCAAUUUUUUAUUAUCAAAUGCAUGUGAACAUGUUAAGAUUUGAAUCCAUUAAAUUUAAAACAUGUUAAAAUUUGAAUUCAUUAAAUUUAAAUCCUGAAUCUGUUUAUCAGGUAGGACCUAAGUUGAGACUUGAAUGACAACAUUAAUCUCUUAUUAGCACUCAUACAAAAAAGGACACUAUACUCUUGGGCUCUGAUCCUCAUAAAACAUUUUGAUUGUCCUUAAAGAAUAUUUUUGGCUAGCUACUGAUAAGCAAGUUGUGGGAGCCCAUUUUAUCAUUGUAUGGAAACUGAAAGACUGAACUCGAUCCAUCCCAAAUUCAUGUCCGACAACUGCAGUUAAAGGCCUCCUCAUACUGGACUACAGGCUCGACUUUUGGUCUAUAAGUUGCAUUGUAAAAAGUAAUGCCUUCAUUUCCAGAAGGAAUCAGCAAAAUUUUCUGGGUUCUUUAAGUGCGAAUGAUUAAUUCAAUCACUUCUUGGUGCCUUCCUAGCUCCUACCCUGUUUGCUGCAUGUCUAUAUGGUGAUUUAUGAGUCAGAGGUGAAUAAUUCUAAUAACCAAAAGCAUUAUGUAGGAGGACACCAAGAAGCUGAAUAUGGCAAAACAAGUAAACAACUCCUUAACCAAAAAAGACUUGUUAUUUAGGAGGAAAAAGGUUUGAGGAAAUUCAGUGAAAUGUAUUUUUACACCAUUUUACACUGUUUGCAAGAUGGGGAUAGUUCCCAUAUUUGCUACUAAUGGAGAGUUUUAGAUAUUUUGAGUCCUAAAUGCUCACCUACCAGAACAAGACAGUUGAUAAAAUAUUCAUACAUAGGACGAAUACAGUCAAAUAGGCCAAUUCUAUUCAUCAAUCCGGCAAAAAGAUGUCGCCAGAAAUAACUACUGUAUAGCAGCCAGAAAUGAGAAAUCUACGGUGUGGCGAAUCCAGAUACAAAUGCAAUCCAGGAUUUAAUGGCACCAAAACAUCUUUAGGUUCUUAAUGGAAUACCAACUUUGAAAUUUCUUAGUUCAACCAAGUCAUUACCAUAGGCAAGGGGGAGUAAUUCAACAAUGGGAUAUGCCGCAUUAUGCUCUAGUAUGCAUAAUGCUGGAAAAUUAUUCUAGAUCAUGCAUGUAUUCUUUUUUACUCUUUAAAAGGGAUUCUGUUAAUGUUUGUUACUGAACUUGCUAUGUAAGUACACGCAACUACACUUUUCAUGUCUUUUUUGUUAAAACCCUAACGUUAACGAAUGCUCAAAUGGGUUCCCGUUAGCCAAACCGUUAAAGAAAAAAUCCCAAUUGGAAAAUGACAAUUCUUUUAACCAUGUUACGAAUCCCAGUUUGAAAUCCCUCGUAACGAAUGCUCAAAUGGACUUCCGUUAGCCAAACUGUUAAAGAAAAAACCCCAAUUGGAAAAUGACAAUUCUUUUGACCAUGUAGAUUACAAAAAAAAAAAAAGAAAUGCAUCUAGUUUUCAUUAAAUUUACAAGUGUCUCUAUUUAUGGAGUUAUAAUUCGAAUAAAUAACGGGACAUUUUCAUCAUAUCAUACUAUAAAUUAACAAAAAAGUCUAUAAACAGAUAAAGAAGCAGUACCAUUAACAUUUCCCAAACAAGAAAUAGCAUCACACACACAGAGGGAGUAGCAGACUGCGUACUAAGGCACAAAGUAUCUUAGAUGGAUACCAAUCAUGGCAUUCCUCAGCUGAUGCUUUAUAAUCAUGGAAAAAGAAAAAAGUUGUGAUUAUCGAUUCUACAAUUAAGGCAAAGCAAAUGGUCCCGCAAGCAAACGCUGGCAAGGAGGGCAAUAAAUAUUGGAAGAGAAAUGUGAUAAUAAUAACAAGGUCCAAACUCCAACACGACGAUUAAUAGCAGUGAACUGGGACAGGAAGGAUUUGCGCAGAGCAGUUCACAAGAGGAGCAAGUAUGUGGUUAUCCGAAUGAACAAGCGUCCCCUUGAUUCUCCAAUCAUUUGUGUUAUAGCUUCCGCGUCUAUUACUAUUGCACUGAAAGCGAUGAAGUUGUAAGGUUGCGGAAACAUCAAAAUCAUAUGGCAGUACCUUGUGUUUUCAACGAGUCCUUUCGGAAAGGGAAAUUACUCCGUUCUUUUAUACACAUAACCAAAAUGGUAACUCUGGAAAAAUUUCGAAAAAUACAAUGAAGGGAAAGUUAUUUUCUAAAAUAAAAAUAAAAAUUGAGUUAUUCUCUUGAAUUUCCUAUCCCAGAAGGAAAGAGAGAAUCAGUGAAGGGAUUAAUACAGAAACACAGCUAGAAAGCAAAUGGCAACGAUGAUAUGAGUCAAAGUUCCAAAGGUGUAAAAGCCUAUUUCCUUUUUUUAUUUUUCUCUCAGUUUUCUACAGUUAGAUAAGAUUGCAUAAUUGUCUUCCAUCGUUGACUCAUUUUAGCAAGACGAGAAACUUUUUGCCACAUUUACUUUACAUCCUAAUUCUGGCCCUAGUUAGUGACAUCUCUGCAGUAUCCUUCUUUCUUUUUUUCUUUUUUUUUUUAUAACCCGGAACAUGCCCUGACCCGAACUCUUAGGACCUGAGCCGGCACACCAAAUCGGAGGGAAGCCGGCAGCCCAAUACAACUUUCCCUGGCAAGUCAGAAUGUGCGACGCAGCGGGCACGAAUCGAACCCUGAUCAGUGGGGAAACCAACAACACAAGGCCGACCCCUCAACCGCUGCGCCAUAUGCCCUGGGGCCAGUAUCCUUCUUUUUGCUAAUGUGAUGAUGGGUUGGUCCAAGUAGUAGGUCUAAUUUUAUACUUUUUGAUAAAACAGAUAAAUUCUUUACAAAAAAGUAGUUGCAAUUCUGGAAGUGAAUGACACUUUUAAAUUAUUAAUACUUGAUUCACUCUAUUUUUUUUAAUGUGCUUAUUUGGUGCCCCCAAAUUUUAACCCCCAAAUUUUAAUGUGUGUAUAUAUUAAGCUUCUCCUAUAAAGAUAUAGGAGAAGCUUAAUAUAUACACACAUUGUUAGCUUAAUGUAUAGGAGAAGCUUAAUGUAUUACGCAUUGUUAGCGUAUAAAUUCUUUUACAUUAAUAGGUUUAGAUAUGUCACAUGUAUAAAAUGUAGAUCUUAAAUUGUCUAAACCUGCUAGUAUAAAAAUAUUUUUACAUUGACAAAAUAUAAAAGAAUAAUCCUAUAUACAUAUAUAUAAAUAAAACUUACUUACCAAAUAAAAAAGAAUUACCCUAAGGCUCGUUAAUGAAAUUUACAAAAGGAUAGUUCCUUAGGGCAUUCUAAGGGCCUAUUUGGGAUUGUGAUAAUUUAUUGAAAGAUACUUCACGUAUUAGAGCUUUUAAUAAAAGCAUUUAUUAAGUGUUCAAAUGCUUAUAAAUAUAUUGUUUGGAUAGAUAGUAUGAUAAGUACUUAUUGUAUUGGAUAAUAUGUAAGUUUAAAAAUUUUAAAUGUAUAUAUCUCUUUAUUUAGUUCGUAAGAUAGGAUGAAAUGCUUAAAUUUAAUGUUUUAUUUUUUAAAAUACAAAAAGUUAUUUUAAAAGUACCAAAUUUUUGUUUUUGCUAAAGUGUUUUUAACACCAAAAGAUUUAUUCCUAUUUUUAUGAGAUAAUAUUCACUAGACACCUCAAAAGUGCUUUUAGUAUUUAAAAAUAUUUUUUUAUCAAAAACACGGCAACCCAAACCAGGCCUAACUAACCUUGCCACUGUUUUGAUAGCCCCCCACUCUCUCUCUAUCUCCACUCUAACUUUACUCUACUUCCCCAAUAAAUUUAUCUUUUCAUCUUCUCCAUCUUAUACUACAUGGUUCUCUAGGUACUAAUCAGGGCAGAAUUACCCAUCAAUAUGUUUGCAAUUAUAUGGCCAUUUUUGUUUGGAUCGCACAUUAUUUAUACUUUAUUUACGCACAUUAAUUUUGUUUAUAUCAUCAACACAUUUUCAAUCAUAUUUUUAUCUCAUAUAUAUUACAUCAAAAAAGUAUUAAAAUAUAUUUUUUUUCAAAAAAUUAUCUUAAGUAAUCUCCGAUCCAAACACAGGUCCAAAAGAUAAGUAGUUUGCCUGGUUUUUAUCUGUGUGAUGCUUUAAUGAGUGACUCUUCCUAGAUGUCGACUUUUCAACAUUUGUCAUAUCAAAUUGAAAGACAUGUUAACCCAUUGUAGCCGUUUAGGUGACAAUAUCGGCUCUAUCAACAUUGAAAGAUUGGUACCCAAACGGGAGGGAAUCACACUUUGCGACUCAAAAGUCAUUGACCUUAUGAAAACACGUAUCCACGUUCAUAUCCUGUAGCCAUCGUGUGGCGAUUGGUGAAGCUUUACUUCAGUUCACAAUCUUUUUAGCAAACACAUCAUGUUAUGCAGGUUUGUCUUCUAUAGGACAGCCUUGGUAAAGGUUUACCUAGUAGCUAGCUAGAUGAUGGGGAUGGAUUUUGUUACUAUAUUUGAAAACCCAUUGACAAGAUUUGAAGAAAAUGGACAAUUACGCGUCAUUUAUUAAUCACAUUCUUUUACUUUAGUUGAAAACCCAUUGAUAAGAUUUAAGAAAAAAGGAUAGUUACGCAAUAUUUGUCAAUCACAUUAAUCAAUCGCCUUUUUUUUACGACGGGUUAUACAUUGUAAAUCUCAGCAAAAGUUACAACUUCUUGCUUGGUUUAGUUUAUCUAAUUUUUUUCAUAAUCUUCACCUUGCAGCUUUAUUAAUUCGUAUAAAUAUAAAUGCAAAUUCUGAUUACAUCUAGCUAGUUGUCAAGAAGACCGUUUCAAUUGAAAAAGAAAUUCAGCUACACAAUUAAAAUGCAUAAGGUGGAACGAAGUGUCGAGCUAUUUAUUAGUAAAGCUUGAAACCAGCUCUCCGUUUGGAUUAGCUGUUUUUGGGGUUGUUUUUCAAAAACAGCACUGUAGCAUUUCGUUUUUGAAAUACAAGUCCGUUUGGAUUAGUUGUUUUUUAGGUUGUUUUUCAAAAACUAUAUGAAAAACUUUUACUGUAGAUGUUUUUUGGAUUAUUUUUAGAGGUUUUUUAAAACAUAUUUUUGGGUAUUUUUAUAAUUUUAUUUUUACAUACAUUUAUGCAUUUAUAAAUAUUUAUAAAUAAAUAUAUUUAUAUAUUCGCUAAAAAAUAUAUAAAUGUAUUAUAUUAUAUAUAAUAAAUAAUAUAAAUAUAUUUAUAAAUGUAUAAGUGUAUAUUAUUAUAAAUGUAUAAAUUAUAAAUGAAUAUUAUAUAAAUGUAUAAAUGUAUAAAUGUAUAAAUUUUAUAUUUUUAUAUAAAUAUACAUUUAUGGAUUUAUAAUACAUUAAUAAAUAUUUAUAAAUAAAUAUAUUUAUAUAAAAAUAUAAAAAUUUAUUAAAAAUUUAUUAUAUUAUAUAUAAUACAUAAUAUAAAUAUAUUUAUAAAUGUAUAAGUGUAUAUUAUUGUAAAUUUAUAAAUUAUAAAUGUAUAAAUGUAUAAAUUAUAAAUUAUAAAUUAUAUAUAAAUGUAUAAAUUAUAAUUUUAUUAAUAUUAUGUAUAAAUGUAUUAAUAUAAUUAAUAUAAAUGUACAAAUGUAUUAAUAUUAUGUAUAAAUGUAAAAUUAAUAUUAUGUAUAUUAAUAUAAAUGUAUUAAAUUAUGUAUAAUACAUAAUAUAAAUGUAUAUUAUAAAUAUACAUUAAUAUAUAUAUUAUGUAUAAAUGUACAUUUAUAUAAAUGUAAAAUAUAUAUUAUAUUAUAUAUAAUUUAUAUAAUAUAUAAUAUUCAUAUAAAUAUAUUAUAAAUAUGUAAAAAUAUUUUUUAAGUAAAAUAAAAUAUUUAUAAUAUGUAAAAAUAAAUAUAUAAAUAUUUAAUAUAUAUAUAAUAUACAGCAAUAUUAAUUAUAAAUAUUAUAAUAUUAUAAAUAUGGUGUUUAUAUAAUAUUUCAAUUUGUAAUAUUUAUUGUAUAUUUCAUUAUAUAAAUAUUCAUAUAAUAUAUAAUAUAUAAAUAUAUAAUAUAUAAUUUUCAAUUUGUAUAAUAUACAUAAUAUUGUAUAUAUAUAAUAUAAUAUAUUAUACGUAAUAUACAUUAUUACAUUAUUACAUAUUAUGUAUAUUAUAUAUUAUACCUAACAUUAUUAGACAUUAUUAUACACAAUAAUGUACAUAAUAAUAUUAUACAUUAAUAAUGUAUAUAUUAUAAUAUAAUGUACAUAAUAUAUUAUGUAUAAAUAUUUACACAUUUAUGUAUACAAUAUUACAUAUUAUGUAUAUUAUAAUAUAUUAUGUAUAAUAUUAAUGUAUAUAAAUAUUUAUAUAAUACAUAAUAUAUAUAAUUUUCAAUUUGUAUAUUUCAAUUUAUAUUAAUAUAAUAUAUAUAUAUAAUAUACAUAAUUGAAAUAUAUAUAUAUGUAGUUGUUUUUGAUAUAAUGUUUGGAUAUGGUGUUUUUGGAGUUGUUUUAGAAAUACACAUUUACUGUAGCAUUUGGGAUGUGAAAAACAGUUUUUCAAAAACAGCCCCAAAAAUAAGGAUCCAAACACACCCCAGGUUUUCUACAAGAAGUUAGUAUUAUUUAUUUGGCGACUUUGUCAGACUUGUUUAGUGAUCCCAGCUGCUACAUUUUGUCGGGAACAAAAUUUGCAGUCUUUCUUCAUUCUUUACUACGCCAUCAUUAUGUCUACUGAAAUUCUUUAUUGCUGCAUGAUUGCAUCUCCAAUUCUCCAGUCAAUUACGUGCUUUCACAUUUUGACUCCAACUUAGGCUACUUCUUCUUUUUUAUUUUUUUUUGUCAGCAAAGAUACAUUUGUAUAACCUAUUUUAUCCUAAUGUAGGAGGGGAUGGGGAGCCUAAAGAGGUUGUGAUAGGGCUUAAUGAGUAUACAGACUCCCAACUUAGGCUACUUGAUUGAUCUACUUUUGAAAGUAGUAGCUUUUCCAAGUAAGCAAUGAUGAAGUAAUCCCUCGAAUAGCUGAAGCAGAGCUCAACUUGGAAACAUUGAACAUGACACUUUACCAAAUAUAUAUACAAAAAUCCAUCCAUUUUUUGCAACUUGCAAGCAACUGUAUCGUGAAGCCUUGAUUCAAUAGUCAUUUCUAUUGCAUGCAGCGAGAGGCAGAGGCCUGGGCAAAUUGUUGUCAGGGACGCAGAUGAAGAGAAAACUGGGGAAAAAAUUAAGAGAAAAUUGAACUCCGAAACUGGGAAAACAAGAGUUUAUAUAGCACAUCGGAAAAUGGUUGGAAGGCUCUUUUGCCUCGUGUUCUUAGUGGGAGGGGUAAUGAUUUCUCAACAAAGUUAAUUCUCUCAAGGUUGUUGGACUAACGGAUUCAGCAAAAAUCUGCAAGUACUUCUUCUUUUCGUGCAGCUUAAUUUCUCAAUGGGAAGGAAAAUUAAUUGUGCGCUAGCUCUCGCAUGCAUUAACUAACAAAGACACUGUUUUCAAUACAAAUUAAUUUCGUCCAUUUGGAUAUAUAUAUCACACUUGUUGAAUAGGGUAUCAUCCAGGAGUUUGAGAAAAAGCUAUAUCAUUUAUUUUUCGAAGCAGGGCCUGGAGGCUGUUGAAAUUGCUGGUACAAUGCUGCCAUCCUAGAAUAAGCAUCCAUAGUCAUAGGC